UUCUGAUCGAUCCUCUCUAUUAUUUAGCUUUAAUUUUAAUAUAUAUAUAUAUAUAGAAUUAGGCUGGAAUAUUAUUAAUAGUAAAAUGCUCUUUUUGCUAUCAAAUUUUUAAUCCUUGGAUGAAAAAUUGUAGAGUCAGGAUGAUAUUAGUCGGUUAGAGUUGAGUGGUCCCCCUAGGGUUAGGUGGUACCCACUGGGUUAUAGUAUUUAAUCCAAUGGUUAGAAAUAAUGAAAAGAGUUAAUCCAAAGGCUAAAAAACUGAUAGCAACAAUAGAAUUUUGCUACUAAUAGUAGCUCAAUCCAACUCUCUCUAUAUAUAUAUAUAUAUAUAUAUAAAGUAUUUGAUGACAAAGUGUUAGGUCAUUGAAAUCAUUUCUGAAUAUAGCAUAACAAGCCGAAUGAUAAGUCAAACCUCUGUUUGAAUGUUAAAAUUUAUUAUUCUUGAAUGGCCAAUAAAUAAGGGGUUUUUUUUAUCUUUUUAUUUAUUUCAUUUUAUUUUCGAGGGAAAUUUUAAACUGGAGCACAAGAAAUGCGACCCAGGAAACCAACAGGGAGUUGAUAUCCACAUUUUUGGGAAUUGAUAUCUUUCAAGGGAAAGUUAGGCUAAAUUAAGGAAUAAAAACUACGUCCUCGCAGUAUUUUUUUUUUUUUGUUUAUAUUCAGAGUUAUCUUCAAAAUAAGAAGGAAAAACUUCAAAAAUUCUCCCUGUGGUUUUGUAGUUUCUCACUUUGCUCCCCUGUGGUUUAAAAUGUAUCAAUUUGCAAGUGGUUUCUUUUUUCUCUUUUUUUAUCAAUUUCAUUAUUUUUUUUUCUUAAAUCAGUGAUAAAGUUAAUUUAAAGAGUACUAAAGUAAAUACUUAAUAAAUCUAGAUGGGUAUCUAAAGUUUUUUGUAUAUAAUUUAAUAAAAUAUUAACGAAAAAACUACCGAAAAAAUAAAAAUGAAACCACAUGGAUGCAAUUUGAUACAUUUUAAACCACAGGGGGGGCAAAGUGAGAUACUACGAAACCACAGGGGGGUUUUUAAAGUUUUUCCUAAUAAGAAUUUGUUGUGUUAAUUUUCAAUCGCUACUUCAGCUGCAAUAUCAAUUAAGAAAUAUAUUAAAAAAAAGAAAAUAAAAAUUGCAUGCACCUUGCGUAUAAUUCGUCCGCAACGUCUAAUCUUUUUAUGAUUAACGGUAACAUCCAAAGAUUCAAACAAUCCUUUUUAAGUUUUAAGUGCUAAAAAAAAUAAAAUAUGAUAAGACUAGUAUAAACGAUGCACUCCUUGGAUAGAGAGAUAUAAAAUUUAUACCCGCAUCUGAGAGUACAUGUAACAUUGUUUUUUUUUUUUUAGCACUUAAAACUUAAAAAGGAUUGUUUGAAUCUUUGGAUGUUACCGUUAAUCAUAAAAAGAUUAGACGUUGCGGACGAAUUAUACGCAAGGUGCAUGCAAUUUGAUGAUUCAUCUGAUAUAAAUUUUAGACCUAAUACUUACUUUCAUAUAGUUGUACUUGCAUAAAUUAAAUAAAAUAUGCUAAUUAAGACAGGAAAAAUAAACGAUGCGUCCAAAUUUUGAAAUUUAAGAAUUAUUAAAUGGCUCAAAUCAAAUUAAUUAAAAAGGCUAAGUAGCAAAAUCAAAAUUUUGCUAAAUGGCUCAAAUCAAAUUCAUUAAAACAUACUAAUCAGGUCCAUAAAUAUAACCGAUGCAAUUAUAUUUUUAAAGUUUAGGAGUCAUUAAAUGACUCAAAUCAAACUACUUCAAAAGUUAGGUAGCAAAAUCAAAAUUAUUAUUUGUUAUAGAGUUGGCUCACAAUUGGCUAUAGUUUAGUUAAGUUUUACAUAUUUCUUCUUUUUUAUCUCUUGCUUUUAUCACACCCUCUCAACUUCCAAUUUUCUGAUUUGAAUUAUUCAACGUUGUUAAAUUGAAAAUUUCUUAAAUUUCGAAGCUCUCUUGAGAAACUAAGGGUGUCCGUGGACCGGGUCGGGUCUGAGUAGUUGAUAUACUGUACCCGUACCCUUAAAAAAAAAUGGUUAGAAAAAAAAAUAUAUACACCCUAUCUUUUUAACUUCGGGUCGGGUCCAGUUCUGGGUACUUAAAUUACUAAUAUACCCAUCGGGUCUAUUUGAGCGAAUCUCGAUAGUGACUAUCCGUAUACUACCCGUUCAAAACCAAAUACGGGUCAGAUACGAGUACCUAUAUAUGUAUAUAUAUAUAUAUAUAUAUAUAUAUAGACUUUAUUAAAUUAUUUGGGCAAAAUUUAUUUCGGCCAUUAUAUUUACUGAUUAAAAGUCUAAAAUUCAAAAUAAUUUUAUAUGUAAGAAUACAAAAAUUAAAAAAUUAUGAUACCAUAUUACAGGUAAAGAGAAUAUAAGUUGUAGUAAUUACUAAUAUUAUAUACUAACAUUCAAAAAACAAGGGGGAAAAAAUAAAAAUGAAUCAGAAAAUUUACUAAAUAGAAUAUUCAUUAAAAAAAACUAGAUUGUCGACUAUGAUUGGAGAAUGGAUUUGGAAAAAAAACUCACUUGUACCACACCUGUAAAAGAUUAAUAUCGCUAAUAAUGACGACGAUGGAAAUAUUGUUUCAUAAGAAAACUCUUAGGCGGAAAUAAAACAAAAAAAAUAAAGAGUUAAAAACAAAGAGUAAAAAAAUUAGAAAAAAAAUAGUAAAAGAGCAGUUAGGAUUUCAGUGUUUUCCUAGAAUGAAAAUACUUAGAGAUCUCUCGUCUAUAAGUCCUAUUAAAAUUAAUCCAUCAACUUUAAAAGUUCACAAUUUUUUUAUUUACUAUCGGAUAUUUCAUCGGGUCCGGAUUUAAAAACUAUUCCGAACCCUACCCAUUUAAAAGUUGGAUUCGGGUCGGGUCCAAAUCGGAUAUGUGUAUAAAAUAUCCGGACCCAUACCCGAAACUUUAAUAAGUUUUUUUUUUUACCCGUAUACUAUCCAUUUUUUAUCGGGUCCGGUUCGGGUCCAGAUAGGGUCCGGGUCGGGUAUAGUAUAUCGGAUAUUUUGGACAGCUUUAUGAGAAACUAUUUAAAAAGCUGGGCCAUAAGUACAUAGAGAAGCUGUUUCAGUACCUGUUUGGCCGCGCGGUUGCACGUGCAUUCGCGGCGUGCGACCGCACCAAAAGACACCUUCGAGCAGAGCUUUCUCAAAAAACCGCGCAAUGCGGACCGCAUUGUUAGCAGAACCGCGUGGCCAAAAAGGGCCUAAGAAGCUGAGCCAAAAUAGUUUUAGAAUUUCGCAAUGGACGCAUCAGGAAUCAAACACGUUCAAAUCAGAACAAUUUGGAAAAAUAAAAAUAACACCAACCAGAAAGAAGUAAAGGCUGACAAAAGAUUUCAUUUGAACAUGCGAGAUUAAGUAAAACAUGAUCUGAUGACCAGAGUACAUAGAUAGCUAAGUGACCCAUAUACAUACAUAAACUAAACCUGACAGAAGCCAAGCUAGAAAAUAAUGGAAAAAAAACAUGGCCAAAAACCAGAACUGAAAAGCCAUUGCUCCAGCAUUUCUAAGCACCAAGUUUUACGGAUGUUAAUUGAAACAGGUGAAUGCGAAAUAGGAAAAGGCGGCGCAGAGAAUUACCAUUUUGAGGUGAUAUAAACACUAUAUUGUGGUCUCGGGAUGAACCGUGGAAACUGAGUUGUGGUCCCAUACUCUCUUGGUGUAAAUGUUCGAAAGCUGUGUAGAUGCAUGAGACCAUCUUCAUCCCGAAUUGAUUAAGGUGGUUGAUUGUUGAUCAGUGGCUGGUUGCUAGGGCUGUUACUAGAAGACCCAAGACCAAGAAGGGCUGAGCGCUAGCCUGUAUAGGAGGGGAAAAACAAUAAUUUUGAAAAGACUAAAAGUGUCUAUAGAAGUAGAAAGGUAAUUAAGUGCCAGUUUAGUCUGGCUUCUCGAAGAUUCUGAGCCUCUAUUUGAGGCUCUAGAGCCACAAAAUUGAAAGCAUUUGGAGUUCUAUUUGUUUGAUGCUGAAAAAUUGUUGGUUGCUUCUCUGGUGGAGACCCCCACCGUCAUUCCAUAGAAUUGAAGGAGAAGAGUGCCAGAGUGCUUUCGAGUUUUCAAAGACUCUAAAGCAUCAAAGCAGAUGCUUUUUUAAAAAACAAUCCCAAAUGAAAGGUCAGUGGCUUGGAUUUGAAAGCAAUACCUGAUAUUUCACGUCAUACUUAACAGGGUCCUUCAGGAAAUAUUGGAACUGUAAAAAGCAAAUGCAAUUAAGGGAAAACUAUAGACAUAAUAACAACAAAAACAUAUCAUUUUGCGUUUUAACCCAUUAAUUAUUGCUCAAAAUUGGAAGUAUCAUUAGUAAAAUCUUCCAGUCCUUUUAAGAUUUCCAUAAUUUGUACAGCAUUACAUUGACAAUACUUAAAAUGUAUAAUGAGGAUAAUUAUCAGCAACAAGAAAGUUACAUUUGUUACCUGAAAAACCACCUGAGGAGUUAUCAGCCCAAGCAGCGCUAACGCAUAAAACGGCUUACCAGAAGCAAGAAGGUAACCUGAAACAUCCACCUCAUUGAGAAACAGAAUUAAUUAUAAAGCAUAGCCCCGUAGUUAAAAAAGAAAUGUCUGGAUUUUUUAAUCUUAGACUAACGUUCUAAUUUAAUAAUUUACCUGAUAUUAUAUAUGCUUUAAGGAGAAGUGACCCUAUUGAGUUGUAACGCUAAAGAAAAGAUUAGAAAUGAAGAUAUUCUUCUCUAAGAUGGGACUAACCCAAUUGAUAAUGAAAUGAGAGAGGAUCAGUGAAACAUGAUCCUCUAAGAUAUUUUCUCGAAGAUAUUCCCAGAAAGUGAGAUGGGAGUGUGGUAUAUAAUUGCUCAACAACUAGGGUAUUUUUAAGGUUAUGAAAUAACACUGCACAAGGCAGGAAAAGUUGGUUCCGUUUGAGUUGCAGACAAGGAAAGAUGGAAACAAUUGAUGACUAACGAAAUAAAAACUUCAUAUCAGAUAUACACAAUCGACGUAAGGGAGAGAUAGAAGCUUUCAAUCAAGCCUUCUGAAACUAGGAAUGGACAAGUUAAUUAUAACUUAAUAAAAGUCUCAAAAAAUAAGAGAGACGAAGAAAGAAGAAACAGAGUAGAUUGAAGAGGACGACGGCACAUGCAUAAGUUCUGUAUUAUGACACGUAAGUUUGGUUUUAUAUCUUUGUUUAUUCCAAUCUCUACCUUACAUUUAGAUUCUCUAAAGGAAACAUUCAAAAGAUUUCACAAGAUGCAAAAAAAUAUAAGCAAAAAGAAAAUUAAGGAGCAAUGAGAUAAACAAUACUUCAUACCUGCUACGGAUAACUGAGUAAUGUCAAUUGCUCCAACACAUAUCCAUUUGGCAGUAUCAAUACCAAAAGCAACUGGAAGUGACUGCAAGAAGCAAGAUAUGGGUCUCUUUAAAAAUGGAAUAAACACUGAAAAGAGAAUUGCAGUGUCUCUGUACAAUAUUUAUUAGGGAAAAGAAAUGGAUCAAAACAACCUGCAGCCCCAAAGCCCUAUCUCCUUCAAUGCUUUUAAAAUCAUUUACAAUGGCAAUCCCCAGCUACAAAGCAUGCGAAAUUAUAUGGUUAGAAUUGGUGAAUGUCGUAGGUACAAAAUUAAGCCAGAUGACAACGUACCCCAGCUAUACUGUACAAAAGCGUGAGGACAAUAAUGUCAGGAGUCAGAGUUCCAAACAGAGCUUGACCAGCCCACCUAUUGUCCAUAGAGUAAUGGUCAUUCAAUGGAGGUUUACAUACACCAAAUCAUCAUAGACACAAUAAAGGCCUAUUUGACCCAGUUGGAGCUUAUACAUAAGUGUUGUUAAUUUAGAACUUUUGGAAGAAGCACUGGCAACUUUUCCAUGAAAAUCUACUCAACAACUUCCAGAUGCAGGAACAACAAAUAGGAGCUUCCAGGUUUGGGCCCAAAAAAUCUCAUCUCUCAUUCCCACCACAGCAAAAGCUUCAAAACAUUUUUAGCCAAAAGCCUGGCUUUUAGAAGCGUUUGCUCUUACAGAUGGUAUUCCGGAAGCCAUCCCAUAGUAAACUAAGGAACAAUAUCAAAAAAAGCAGGAAAGACGAUGGCAAACUGAUGUACCAUGGCAAACUGAUGUAACUUGCCCCUAAGGCAAAAUUUCCAAUCCACCCAUUCUGCUUAAGCUGCAAGACAUGAAAUUGAAUGCAAUGAAGAGGGACAUCAGCUACAAUAGUUCAUCCUUUUUUUCGUAAGAAAAGCUAGUUCAGCCAUGAAGGAAAGAUUUAUUUCUAUCAACACAAUAAUGAUAGCAGUAUGAAAGAAAGUGCAUGUACCUUUAGAGGUGGAGCUGAGUAAAUGUAGGAAAGCAAAGAUCCACCUACUGCUAGAUAGAAAAUGAAAGGAAAUUUGUGUCCUGCCUGAAAUGAAGAAAAGUAGUUAAUACCUCACGAAAAUAUCCAUCCAGGUGUUUUGACUAGCAAGCAUGUAAUUUCUGAAAAAAGAUAGAAAGAAAGAAGACUUACCCAGACAUCUAAUAGCGCUCCCAAUCCAAGGCCACUUAACAGUAGCACCCAUAUCUGGGUGAUAACCUGAAAAUUAUCUUUAUUAGAGAGGAAUGAAAAUUAAGAAACCUCUGUCAUUAAGGCAAUUCGCAUGUAACUAAAUCCUCUCCUCUUAGAUUUAAGAAAAUACUGAUGCAUUCCAGGUGACAUAGUGUUUUCUUUGUCCCAACUUGUCUCAGUAAGAAAUGUUCCAUAAUCUUGUGGGGAUACCAUAGUACUUGCAAAAUAGGCAGAUGAGCAAGGAAACCUACUAUUUGAUCAAUUUUGAUAGGUUACAUUCUUCUUAAUCGUCACUUGUAUUAUAUCACAUAGAAAGACUUUUCAUGAAGUGGAAACAAAUUCAGAUCCCUGGGAAUAGACGGAAUACAUUUUUGAAGACAUUCAGUUUAAAGAGAGCAAAUCAAGUACCUCAUUCUCAGAUAUUGCGCCGGAAGGAAUGGGACGAUAGGGCUCAUUAAUUGCAUCAAUAUCUCGGUCGUACCAGUCAUUAAGUGUCUACAAGCAAAAUAAAAUAAGAAUGGAAAGAAGAACAAAUUCUACCAGAGUAUAUUAUGCUUUUUCCAGCAAACUGCCAAUUUAAAACAAAGCAAUUCGGGGAAUAAAUCUAACCUGUGUGUAACCUGUAAGACAUGGUCCAGACAUUAUCAUGCAAACUAUAGCUUUAGCAAUGUCUUCAACAUUCCAAUGGAAGUUCCCUGAAAAAAAAUACAUUAUUUGGCUAAAGGCAUGAAUAAAGCAUUCAAGCUGUUGGAUGCCAUUACAUGAACAUCAUUCAACAACUUAUUUUAAUAAGCAGUACGUACCCUAUCUAAUGUUAACAUCAGCAAUGUCAAUUGUGAAAGUAUGUUUCUUUGUAUAAUGUUGCUAUUAUCCUUGUCAAAAGAGCACCUAACCUAUGCUUGUUUAGCAUUCCAAGGGGAAUGCUAUCUCCACUUAAUGUCAUAUUAGCAGAUGAGGAGAAAUGGUAUAAUAAUAUAGUAUUCUUCAUAUGGACGCAGGUAGUACAAGAGGCAUUGCAUGAAUCAAAUAAUCGCAAAAAUAAACAAGAAAAAGGCCAGGAGUAUUACCAGAGGCAGCAGCUCCACAAACCACUCCCCAUAUCAAUGGAGCCCAAGUAACAGGUUUUGUAAGUUGAAGACGAAUCUUCCAUUUAUCCUAUGUGAAACAAACACAAACAGCCAAUAAUUUAGCACAACCAAACUGAUGAGAAAAUUAGAAAAGUAGUUCUCCUGUAUUUUGGAGCCUGAAAAAGAAAAGUAACAGAAAAGUAAAAAUUAUAAUGCUCUAAUAUAUUCAUCAGAGAGCGGUAAUGCCUACUUCAUUCAUAACUAAUAAAUGAAACCCAAUGACAGCAAAAUAAGCCCAGUCGAGUUACUAGUCCAAAUUAUGGAUGAAAACCAAUGACAGCAAAGUAAGCCCAGUCGAGUUACUAGUCCAAAUUAUGGAGAAUGAGAAUAGGGUCACCAUAGCUAAAAGAGUCAGACGCCGUAAAUUUGCCGUUUCGAGAAAUUAUUACAACAGACACUUCUUACCUUUGUUUAAGAAGCAACUAACAAUUUUGUUUCUUACGUUUAGAAUUUAUCAGUACUAUAAUAUUGUGAGUUUUCAUUUACAAACAAUUCUCUCCAUGAUUUUGAGAACUGCAACUCUACUAAUUUCUAUAAUCCAAAUUUCUAUAAUCCAAACAACACACUACUCUUCUUUACCUCUGACACAGGGUAACAUAUAUAUAACCCCUUGCACUUGGUUCCUGUACUUCUUACUUAACACCCAAGUCCCUAAACUUUCCUGUAUAUUGCACUUUCGUCCCCGUCCAUUAAAAAAAAAAAAAAAAAAAAUCCUGUUUUUCUUAUAGAAUUACCAUUGACCCACUGAUUGUAGUUUAAUUCAAACAUAGUUAAAGGGUCAUUUUAUAAUGAAGUCAGGUUUUUCUUUUUAGCAGUCCAUGACUAAACUGCAAUAGACAUCAAAAACUUCAGGGAGUAAUGUGGUUAAAUGAAGACACAGGAACCAAGUCUCAAAAUGAGGAUAGUGCAUGAACUACCAUAUUCUCCCAAAUUCUCCAAGCACAACAAAAUAAACAACCAAAUUCUUCACAAAUAAACAGAACACAAGCAUUCAAUGUAUCGAAAUCUCACCGUCUCCUGCGCCGCGCCCUUUAUGCCGAGCAGCUGAUUUAUGUUCGAUCCCUCCGCACCAGCCGGCGACGGCGCCUUCUCCGGCGCCGCAGGCCUCGCUGCAAUCAACAAACAACACCAAAUCACCAAAACACCAAUCCAAAACGAAUUAAAACCCUAGAAGUCGAAAUUUCGCGUCGAAUCAAACCUUCCUUCGCGUCGGUCUCAGCCGCCCGAACCCUAAGUCUCCUCCCUGAGAUGCGAUCCAAACGGUUACCCCACGAAACUAGGUCGAAAACUUCGAAAGGGAUUGGGAGACGAGGGAGGGGGUUUACUCGCGAGAGGAAGAAGCGGCAGCGACGGCGGCGGCGAGCGGAGGCGGAGAGGGUUCCGGCGAGCGGCGGGGGAGGCGGCGGAGACGGAGGCGGAGGCGGCGGAGAGGAGGGAGGAAGCAGAAGCCAUGGGCGUCGAUGGAGAGAGCUCAACCCCCGCGAGCUCACUCUCUAUGGAAGCGCGGAGCGUGGAGUGUGGAGAGGAGGAAGGGGGAGGAGGGGGAUAAGCUCAAGAGCUGGCGCUUUACGGGCGUUAUUUUCGUGCACCAGGUGCACCAACAAGCAAAGUGGACCGCAAUUUUUUUUUUUUUUUGGGAGUUGAUCAUUAAUCAAUAACCAGUGCUUUUUUAUAAAAUAACCCUCCAAAAUUUUAAAAUUAGAGAAAAAAUUUUAUUAAAAUUUUAUUUCGAAAAAUAACCCUCCUUUCGUCACGAAGGCGUCACGUCAGAUUUUUGCUAUGAAUGCGGUGAAUCAUUCACCGCCUUCAUUAUAUAUAUGUAAAGGCGGUGAAUGAUUCACCGCCUUUAGUGUAAAAUAUUCUAAAUUUAUCAAAAUUUGUCUAAGUCCUGAAGUUAAACAGAUAGUGAAUGAUUCACCGUCUUCACAUAUAUAUUAUAAAGACGGUGAAUGAUUCAUCACCUUCAUUAUAUAUAUGUAAAGGCGAUGAAUGAUUCGCCGCAUUUAUAGUAAAAAUCCAACGUGGCAUUCACCGCAUUUAUAGCAAAAAUCCAACGUGGCAAAAGAAGGGUUAAUUUUCCAAAUAAAAUUUUGAUAGAAUUAUUUUGCCAAUUUGAAAUUUUGAAGGGUCAUUUUAUAAAAAAGCCCCAAUAACAAUGCACGAAUCUUGGAGCAGGGAUGGAUUUGUAGCCCAUUUAAUUUAUCAAAUGCAUAAGGUCAUCUAAUGUUAUUAUUACCAGACAUUAAAGUUCAGACCAAAAAUAUACAGGAAUGUGGUCAAUGUGAUAUUACGCAUGAAUACGAAUAUUAACAAAAUAUUUUAUCGCACUUUUUUCAAUCAUAUGUAGUGUAGUUUUUUAACCAUUCUAAACAGAGUCUUAGAAAAUAUGCCAAUUAUGAGAUAUUUUUAUUUUUUCUGGAAAUGAGGUUUAAUCACUUGUUCAUCAGAAUGUACGAUAAUUAAAGCAGUGAUAAAUAGUUGAUUUAAUCGUCUCUCGGUCGGUAGGCUCCCAUAUAUAUAUAUAUAUAUAUCUAUUAUUAUAUUUUUUAUAUAUAUUAUAUUAUAUUACUUAUAUAUUUUUAUUAUACUACUAUAUAUAUUAUAUAUAUAUAUUAGGAGUCCGCUCUAGUUUUACCUAUUAAUGCACGAAGCACUUGGUUACAAGUUUGUCCGCCGUUAGAUCUAUCUUUGAUCAUUUCAUCCGUUAAUAUACUAUUUAACCAACAUCCCAUCAACCUAGGGAGCCACAAUCAUCCUAACGAAUUCUUCAUUCAAUGCGCCAAAAACUUGGUUAGCACAUAUGACUUGGCGUGUAUUAAUUAGCAUAGUAGCCUUAGUUCUAUAUAUAUAUUAUAUAUAUCUAUAUAGUAUUGAGUGGAAUAUAUCGGUAGCAACAGCGGACUCGUUGCCCUAUUUGUUUUCGAUGAUAACGCCUUCCAAUGACCGUAUCCGAGCACGUUACACUGAUAUUUAACCCUUAAAGUAUUAGGAAAUCAAAAUAUUUCAAAUCUUUUCGACAAUUCAUUUACCUAAUAAUCAACAGUUUAAUUUUGUAUUUUUAAGGUGAUAUGAGGCGUUUUUAUUUAAUUGGUGUUACAACUAUCCAAUCAAUUGAAUUUUGGUGUAGAAGAAAAUUCUUUAACUAUUUAGAUAAGAUCUAAUACUAUCGAUCUUGAUUAUUGUUUGUAUUUCUGCAUGCAAUUUUGUGAGAAAUUAAUUUUCAGCCGUUUAAGGUUUUACGCCCAUCUUGAUAGAUAGGAACAAUAUCAAAAAAGUAUGAAUUUGAUUUGGUUAGAUAGGUUCAAGUUGGUAUAGAUCAUUUUCAACGGUUUUUCGAUGUUCGAUUUGGGGACUUCAUCAUCGAAAACAAUUGGGUGGCAAAAGAGCCGUUUUCGCUACGAUAGCUAUUCGCAGCUCAACUCUAUUAUUAUAAUAUUAUAUAGAUGAGAGGAGUUAGGGCUCUGGAUACUUGAAAAGGUAUCAUGGGCAGUGAUUAAUGUGUGUGUUUUAGUUCUUGGAUGGAGAGAUGUGAGUUGAGGAUGAAUGGUGGUAGGUUUGGUGGUAGUGGAAUGUGUUUAAUCCAAGGGCCUUAAUAAUCAAAAAGUAGAUCCAUGGCCUUAAACUCUAGCACCUAUGGCUGUGUAUUUUUAAAAGUAUAUAGCUCAACUCCUUAUAUAUAUAUAUAUAUAUAUAUAUAUAUAUAUAUAUAUAUAUAUUCCCAACAAAUUUUGAGCAUAUACCCACAUAAUUUACUGCUAAAGAGAAAGAUAUCAAAUGGCUACUCUAAGAUCUAAUUUAAGAAAUUGCGUUGCAGCUUGCUUCUUCAGCAGUGAUUAAUACAAUCAAUUUAUAAUAUUAGGUUGUGUUUUGUUCAGAAACAAGAUGAUGAAUAAGCUCUUGUUUCCCCUUUUUGUUCCCAAAAUACUAUUUUUUUCAUCCAAGAAUAGUUGUUCUCCUAUCUCUGAAAUAAGUUGAUAUAAUUCAGACUAACCUUGGGACAGCUUUUCCAUCCUCCCCUUCUGGAACAGGCUUGUUCGCAGGUGGAAACAAGGUUAAUUAAAGUCUAAUCUAAUUUUAAUUAUGGCAUUAAAUUAUUAAUCAAUCUAAUUAAUAUUUUUUACGUCAUUAACUAUUUGCUUAAAUAGUAAAGUAAUUAAUUUAUUUAUUAUUUAUAAUUAAUUAACUAAUUAAAAAUUACUAUUUUAAUUAAUUAAUUCAAUAAUCAAUAUUAUUUAUAUUAAUCAACCAUUAAUAUUUUGACUAAUAUAUUAUUUUUUAACUAAUUGUCUAACUAAAUAAUUUACUAGCUAAUUGAAAAGUUAAGUUAUUUUUAUAAUUAAUUAAUUAAUUAAUUAAUAUUUAUUAAUUUAUUAAUUUAUUAAUUUCUUAUUGUAUAAUAAAUUUAUUAAUUUAUUAAAUUAUUUUUAAUUAAUAUUUUGAUGUUAAUUAAUUAGUUAAAAUAUUUUUAAUUUAAAAUUAUAACUUUUAUUACUCCUGUUCCAAUCUCCAAACAUCGUUUAUCUUAUUUUCAGAAAUAACUUAAUUUUCAUUCAAACUCAAGACUAUUCUAAUUUCUUUUUAUACCUCAAUUUAUACAUGUCUCUAUAAUAACCGGUUCUUAUUUUUGUUCUUAUUUAUACUGGAACUAAACACAACCUUUUUUAGAGAAUGAGAGCAUUGGAUAGCUUUCCAAUUUUUGUGUAAACUUUUAAAUACCACCCCUGUGGUUUCGCACUUUCUCACUUUAGUGCCAUAUGGUUUAAAGUGUAUCAAGUUAGUACAGUGUGGUUUAUUUUUAUCUUUUCAUCAGUUUCUCCGUUAAAAAAAUUUUAGAUACCCCAUCCAAGUUUAACGAAUAUUCACUUUAGUAUCCUUUAGUUUUAACUUUGUCACUGAUUUAACGAAAAAAAUUAUUGAAAUAGAUAAUAAAAAGAUAAAAAUGAAACCACGUGAUACUAAAUUGAUACAUCUUAAAUCACAUGAUAGUAAAGUAAGAAAGCGUGAAAUCACCAGAGUGCUAUUUGAAGUUUUUCUCAAAUUUUUUGUAUCCUUAAAUAUAUGAAAGUAGGGAGCUUUUGCGACAUAAUAUUAAAGUUGCGACUUGCGACAUAAUAUUAAAGGAUCCCAGAACCUUUUUUUUUUUUUUAGAGAUAAGUAGCACGCUACCCGCUUCGUUUAUUUCAUUUAGAAAUAAACUUAGCUGGAAAUGUAAAUCAACAAGGAUUCGAACUUAGGUCUCGGGUAUCAACCACCAAGCCCUUUGCCACUUACUCUAGGGCUAGGCCUAAAUAGACGUUGUGUGUUCGGAAAUUAGAAGUUUAAUUUUCAUGUUUUAAAAAAUUUAUGAUAUAAUAAGAUAGCUUAUUUCACAUGUGUUUUAUUUUUUCCCAAAAAUAAUUUAAAGAUGAAUGCUGUAUCUGCUCUAGGUACUUAAUAAUCCUUCUCAUCUACCAAACACAGCUUUUAGCUUUUCUAUCAUCUUCAUUACUAUUAUUUAUUGGCAUAAAAAAUUUCUGUAACUCGUAAAAAAUAGAGCGUUAGAAAUUAGCAUGCAACAUAUUAGAAAUUUUAUUAACAAAGAUAUAUAUCAAACUAAUAACUAGUACAUUACUAUAUCGAUGACGUAUAAGGGGAUAUCCCCCUUUAUACCCAAACAAAAAUUGGGUUAAACCCGGUAUGGGUGGGAACAAGCAGUGUUCCCACCCCCCGGGUAGAGAGAGAAAUUUUUAUUUUAAAUUUUAAUUUUAAUUUUUAAAAUUUAUAAUUUUAAAAUUUAAAUUUAUAAUUUAUAAUUUAUAAUUUUAAAGUUUAAAUUUUAAAUUUGAUAUUUUUAAAUUAUAAAUUUUAAAUUUGAUAUUUUUAGUUUUUAAAUUUUAAAUUUGCUAUUUUAUAUCUUUGAAAUUUGGUUUUAAAUUUAAAAUUUGAUAUUUAAAUUAUAAUUUUAAAUUUUAGUUUCAAAUUUUAAAAUUUAAAAGUUAAAAUUUUUAAUUUUCAACUUUAAAUUAUAAGUUCAAAAUUUAAAAUUUUAAAUUCAUAUAUAGGGAUAAUAUCAUUAUUUUCUAUUUAUAACUAACAAAUAUUCCUCUUAUUCCCAAUAACCAUCCAAACAUAAUUUUUCUAGUUCCAGCGUAUACUCACAUUUUCAUCCAAACAAAAAAACACCCUUAUUCUUAUAAAAAUUCAUACUUGUAUCUAUUCCCGGUAUAACUAGUUCCUACUAAUUUCCGAACCAAACGGAGCUAUAAUAGAGACUUCUCAAAAUUUUACCCUUUUUUAUACUUAAAUAUUAGGGGGAAAAGGGUCCCGUGGGAAUUUUUUUAAAAAAUAUACUAGACUAUUUUUUUAAUCUAAAAUUUAAUAUAAUUUAAAGUUAAUUUAAAUUUAAAUUUUAUUCAAUUAGGAAGUUUUUUUUCAACAUCAAAUUAUUAAGCAUUACUUAUCAAAUUAUUAAAAGUAUAUAGCAAUUAAAUAUUAUUAACUGACAUAUUGUAUAAAAAAUUAGGAAUAAUUUCAUACAACUUCCUAUAAACAUAUCGAUUAGCAGAUAUAUUCCUACAAAGUUCAAGUUUUCAGAUUUAUCCCUUUAAAAGUUUAACGAUAUUCAGCCCACUUUGUUGGAUAGAAUCCGAGAGAAACAGAGUGGAGACCCGCAUUUGUUGAGGGUUCGAGAGCAGUUAGAGAGGGGACAAGCAGAGGGCUUUGUAGUGGACAGUUCAGAAGUACUGCGGUACAGGGACCGAUUGUGUGUGACUGUGGAUUCAGAGAUUCGAGAGGAUAUUUUGAGAGAGGCUCAUUGUUCACCUUAUACGGUUCACCCUGGUGGAACCAAUAUGUAUACAGAUUUGAAAGUGCAGUUCUGGUGGAAUGGAAUGAAGAGAGACAUUGGCAGAUAUGUGGCUCAGUGUUUGACUUGCCAACAGGUGAAAGCAGAGUAUCAGGUACCUACUGGCAAGCUUCAGAGUCUCCCAGUGCUCGAGUGGAAAUGGGAGCAGAUCACGAUGGAUUUCAUCGUGGGAUUGCCUAGAGCACAGAGUGGUUUCGAUGCUAUUUGGGUGACAGUUAACAGACUGACUAAAUCUUCUCACUUCCUAUCAGUUCAGACCACCUGAUUCAUGGAAAGGCUCGCUCAGCUGUAUCUGGAUGAGAUCGUGAGAUUGCAUGGAGUACCGAUUUCGAUCGUUUCUGAUAGGGAUCCGAGGUUCGUAUCACACUUCUGGAGGAGUCUGUAGACAGCCUUGGGUACACAAUUGUAUUUCAGCACAGCGUUUCACCUAAAGACAGAUGGUCAGUCAGAGCGGACCAUUCAGACUCUGGAAGACAUACUGAGGGCAUGCGUCCUAGACUUUGGAGGAGGGUGGCAUCGACAUUUGAGACUCGCUGAGUUUGCGUACAACAACAGCUAUCAAACGAGCAUUCAGAUGGCUCCAUUUGAAGCGUUGUAUAGACGCAGAUGUCGAUUUCCUUUGUUUUGGAGUGAUGUGGGUGAAAGGAAGACGCUUGGGCCUGAGAUCUUGCUAGAGGCUGAGAAAAAGGUUAGAGCAGUGCGUCGACACCUUUUGGCAGCCCAGAGCCGCCAGAGGAGCUACACCGAUACCAGAAGACGAGAUUUAGAGUUCCAGAUUGGAGAUCAUGUUUUUCUCAAAAUCUCGCCGUCCAGUGGCAUACGCAGAUUUGGAGUGCGUGGAAAGCUCAGUCCACGUUUUGUAGGCCCUUUUGAGGUAUUGGAGCGAGUUGGACCAGUCGCCUACAGCAUUGCUUUACCCCCAUGACUGGCCGGUAUUCAUGAUGUUUUCCACGUCUCGGCUUUAAGGAGGUAUGUCUGUGACCCCUCGCACGUGAUUGACUUCACUCCACUGGAGUUUGGCGAGGACUUGAGAUAUGAGGAAAGACCGGUGCGAAUUUUGGCUCGUGAAACAAAGGAAUUACGCAACCGGGCCAUUCCUUAUAUAAAAGUACAGUGGAGUCAUCACGAGGAGCGGGAGGCGACCUGGGAGCCGGAGAUGGCGAUGCGGGGGUCCUUUCCUUACUUGUUUGAUGCUCAGGAUUAAGUUAUGCUUAAGUUUCGAGGACGAAACUUUUUAUAGUGGGAGAGGGUAUAGUAUCCCUGGAGUUCAGCAUUUGAGGCUUGACGACAGCUCUGGAGAGUGUCGGGACAAGUCCGAGCCCGGUUAAUGCGAAAUAGACGCAAACUGGACUCAGCGGGGCGCGAGAGCAGGAAGUUACCAUUGCAAUCUGCAACUUGCAGAUUUUCAGCAAUUGGUACCGAUACCACGCAGGGGCGUACCGGUACCAGUGCAUUUUCUGUGCAGACUGCUCUCGGGUUGGCCAUCCUACUGCGUGGUACCAGUACAACAUUGAUGUUGUACCGGUACACCAGGGUAAGUAAGGGGCCUUUUGGUCUUUUCUUGUCUCGUUACUUGCACCCUUAUCCCUUCCCGCCUAUAUAGGAUAGAGAGAUGCUGAGGAGGGGUUUUGCUGUGCUCUCUCUCUCUCUUCCUCUUGUGUUCAGCCGUACGCAAGGAGGGGCUCGAGUGGAGUCGGAUCGACGCCGACGUCGCACUGCGGUGCCGUUCGAGCGUGCAUUUGUCGUGGUAGUGCCGUGGGGAGGCCGGGCGAAUGUAUGGUUCCGCUUCUAUCGACUUCUCGCCGUAGUUGGACGCGCUUUCGAGGUGGGUUAAAGUGAUGCUUACCGGAUUCUAGGGGUUUCCUCCUAAUUCUAUAUGUGUCGACAACAUGUAUUUUUAGCUUUGAUUAGUAUAUUGUUUAGCUCGAUUCUUGGAAUAGCAUGUCUUUGAACUUGAAUUUGAGCUUAGAAAAUUAGCUAAAUUAUGCAUGUUGGACUUGGAUUUGACUUAGAAGAAAACAGACGUUUCUACACCGCCAUUUGAUCAAACUAUCAGAUUUAGCUCUAGGAGCCGUAGUUUGUUUGUAUCGCCACAGUUUGUGGGCGGUGGAUACCCAGAAUAGUGUAGAAUAUAUUUACGCACGUACUGUGGUGCCGAGUUUAUUUUUACAGCAGUGUUUAGGCUGUGCCAGAUUGUCAGGUGCCGUUUAGGUUGACGGUAGACCUAGAUUACUGUUUUUGCAUCAGAUUGUGCCGAUGGCACGUGAGUUCAGUUGUUAGACCCUAUUUACUUGACUAUAGCCUGCGAGAGCCUGAUUGAGCUCAACAGAGACACGCUUGCAUACUCGGUUGGGUAGUGCCCGCGAGUGCCACUCCGGAGUUGGGCUUUGUGCUUUUGCAUUGGUGUCGUUUGGUCCUGGUUGGACUUGCUCUCUACUGACGACCUGGUUUGGUGUCAGAUUGUAUAGCUUCGACAGGCGGGACGAAUGUGUUCACAGUCCCUAUUGAGAUUGGGUCAGGCUUUGCUAUUUCCUAUAGAUUGUUGGUGUUCGACCGAGAUAAUAUAGGUGCAUAUAGCUGUAAAUUUAUUUCAGCUUUCUUUCUAUACUUGUUUACAUCUGUAGACUUAGUCGGUGAGCCGUUGAGGUCGGUAGCUACCAUUGAGGACUAUUUCUUUUUGCAGUAGUUUUCAUGCCCAGUUGUUAGAAUCUUUUGCAGAGCCUUCUUCUUCGGCUGCUACUGCUGCUGAUUCGGACGGUGAAAAGGGAGUCGCGAGUUAGAUCCCUUCCCAGUUGCUGCUGAGUUAGAGUAUACCAGCUACAGGUAGUGCUAGUUUUUGAGUUCAUAUACAUACUUUUAUUGUAUCUCGUUGGAGCGAGUGUUUUGUACACCAGGAUGCUUGUAUGUAUAGUAAACUUCUGUUUUUAUAUAUAUCAUUUCUUCUAGCAGCUUUAUACUACUAGUUGUAGUAUUGUUUGAUUACAGGUACAGCUAUCGCUUCGUAUAUAGGAAAAUUUUUUUUGUAUACGGCCGAUUUGUCGGCACGUCCGGAAAAACGAGUAAUCCGGGGCGUGACAUUAACAAUACUACAAUAGGCCAUUUUAAAUUAUUCGAGUUAGUUAAGUUCAUAAUUUUAUUAAAUUUAAUAACACUAUAGAUUAUUAGUCAUUAAUUACUAUAGUCUUAUUUGCUAAAUUAUAAAUAGAGAUUAAAUUUAUGCAUUUUUAGCUGAUUAGGAAGAUGCUACGGUGCUUGCUUAACUGCACACUCAGUUCUCAUCCUUUAAAAAAGCAAAAUUUUGAAAGAAAAUGAUCCCUUCAUCGCGUUUCAAAUAAACUAAAAUGCUUAAACAAGGGGACCAAAAUAAAAAAUAGUGAAAGGGUUGAGAACCAAUGUGUCGUUAAUUCUUAAAAAUAAUUUUAUGUGAGCCCCACAACCCUCCAAAAUAAGAGGAUGCCUUCAAAAUUUUGAAUUUUUAUUUUUAGGGACUAAAGUGAAAGAUAUGUAAAGUUUAGGGACUAAAAUUGAUAUGCAAAAGAACGCUAAAUAGAUGAUGGCAUGAUAAUGUCGUUAAUUCUAAAACCUCUUUUAACAGUUCUAUUUCAUCGCGAUGAAAUCAAGAGAUUUAAAAACUUGAUUGCAAAAGAAAAAAAAAAAAAAGAUUAGAGACCAAAAUAAAAAAUAGUGAAAAUGUUGGAGACCAAUGUGCAAUUAAUUCUUAAAAAAAAUUAUAUGUGGGCCCCACAAUUCCAAAAUAAGGAGAGGCCUUCUUUAGAUUGCCAAUUCAUAUAUUGUAAGAUGUGUAAUUAAUCAUUGUGGGCCCCACAUCUCUCCAAAAUAAGAAGAGGCCUCCUUUAGUUAGGUUCCCAAUUUAUUUAUUGUACAGAUAGAUAGACAAGGGGACCAAAAUAAAAAAUAGUGAAAAAGUUGGGAAUCACUGUACAAUUAAUUCUUAAAAAAAUUUGUAUGCACAAUCCACCAAAAUGAGGGGAGGCCUUCAAAUUUUUGAAUUUUUAGUUUUAUGGACUAAAGUGAAAGACAUGCAAAGUUUAGAAACUAAAAUUGAUAUGCAAAAGAAAGCUAAAUAGGCGAUGACAUAAUAAUGUUGUUAAUUCUAAAAUCUCUUUUAACGGUUCUAUUUUUAUAGCAACUAAAUCAAGAGAUUUGAAAACUUGAUUGCAAAAAAAAAAUUAUGGACCAAAAAAAAAAAUAGUGGAAAGCUUGGGAACCAAUAUGUAAUUAAUCCUUAAAAAAAAUUAUAUGUGAGCUCCACAAUCCCUAAAAUAAGGGGAGGCCUUUUUGGGUUCCCAAUUAGUGUAUCGACAAUUGUGUAAUUAACCGACCGUCUCUAGAAUAAGUGGCAAAGAGCUUGGUGGUUCGUUCCUGAGACCCAAGUUCGAAUUCUAAUUGAUUCACAUUUCUAGCUAAGUUUAUUUCUAAAUGAAAUAAACGAAGCAGAUAUCGUACUACCUAUCUCUCAAAAAAAAAAAAAAAAANAAGAAAAGACAAUUGUGUAAUUAAUCAUUGUGGGUACCAUAUUUCUCCAAAAUAAGAAGAUGCCUCCUUUAAAUUGCCAAUUCAUGUAUUGUGUAGAUAGAUAAAUAAAUAAAAUAAAGUAAAAUAAAUAAAAAAUAAAUGAUUCGGUCUCCUGUGGACCCAAAUUUAUUUUCUUUGAAUUCCGGGUCCUUUUAAACAUUGUGGUCCCAAAGAACAUGAGAAAACACAUUAAAAUUGGCGUGUACGGCAUUGCAUUGAACACCACAUGUUUUAGAAUAAAAAAAGAAAAAAAAAAGAAAAGGAAAAAAAACGAACAAUAAAAACCCAAAAAUAAAGAGGAAAAUACAAUAUAAUUUUGGUGUUUGGAACCAAAACCUAAUUAAAUUUCAAUUAACUUUUAGUCAAAAGAAUAAGAAUAAGGAUUGAUUGCAUUUAUAUUUCUACAAAGCAGCGAAAUUACAAAUUCAUCCUUACAAAAUUUUGGUUAUUAUUUAUAAAAUUUAUUAUAUAUCUCUUGUUUGAAGUUACAUAGUUUGUAAAUAUACCUCUCUCUCAAUUUAGGUGGGCAGUUAAACUUAAACUUUUUCUCAAUAAAAUAACCAUUUCAAUUUUCGAUAAAUAUUUUCUUAAAAUAUAUUUAAUGUUGUUUUUUAUUUAUAAACUGUAAAUUACAAAUUAUAAUUUUUUAAAAAAAUUGUUAUGUAUAAAAUAACACAGUUUUAGCAGUGAAAAAUUAAAGAUUAAUUGAAAACAGUCAAUAUGAAGAGUUAAUUUGCAUAUUUUGGGGAUUUUGAGGAAUGCAUUUGAUAGUUAAAACUUUGGAGCUAGGAAUACAUAUAAAAUUAGGAUAAUUGCUUACGUAUUCCUAAAAAGUCCCAGACUUUUUUAUUUACCUCGCUUAAAAGGUUAAUAUAAAAAAUAUCAUUUUAACGUUCCAAGUUCUUUCAAAUAUAUCUUUAGAGAUGUUAUCUUUGUAAAAUAACUAUUUUUCUUUUUCAAAUAUAUCUUUUUAUCUUUACUAGCUUUUGUUAUUUACCUUUAAGGCAUGUUUGGUUCACCUAUUUUAGACUAUGGAAUCGAAAUGGAAUUUAUUGAUUCCGAUAGUUGCCGUUUGUUUUAUAAGAAUCGGAUUUCGAUUUUCAUUCCACUCCGGAAUAGGAAUGGCUAAAUCCAUUUAUGAUCCAAUCCAGCUUUGAAUUCGGGAUUAGCUCUUUCCAAAGUAAACUAUUGAAAAUCCUCUUUCAUCAGCACCUACCUCCUCUCCCUUCAUCACUUUCCUCUCUCUUAAUCAAAACCCUCUCUCAAAAAUUUUAAAUUUUCAUUCCGAUUUCCAUUCCAAUAAUAAACCAAACAUUUUGGAUGAUUCGUCAUUUAAUUUUCUAUUUCAAAGCAAUCCAAUUUCAUUUCUCAUUCCUAUUCCAAUCAUGAACCAAACAAGCGCUCAAAUUAAAGGCAAGAAAGAUUUUUUUUUUUUUUUUUUUACUCUAAUAGAAAUUUAAUUGGUAUUUAACUGAGAUUGCUUAACAAAUAUUAAGAACGGAUUAUUUUUGAAUAACGUAAAAAUAUAUCAAAAAUAUAUUUAAAAUAAAAAUAAAAAUAUAUCAAUAUUUCAAAAAUUUUGAGAAAAAUAUAAAUAAUUAUCCCUAUAAAAUAAUCCCCAAAACUGUUAAUUGUAAUUGUAAUGCAAUAUAGAUUUUCCUCUUGGGAUAAACUGAAAGACACAAUUGAUGUAAACUCCCCUAUAAAAUACAUUUUGUUUUUAAAUAUUAAUAAAAGGUCAAGGGCAAUUUUAUAAAUUUACUAUACAAAUUAACCCAAGUCUCAUACUCUUCUGAUGUUACAUCAUCUAUUAAUGGUGGUCACAAUCACACUAACUCGACCAAACCACCUUUCCAGCUUUUUCCAAAACCUAAUAAAAAGAAACCUACCACAUGCCUCCCCCACAAAUAGGGAAAUAACGAAUUCAAAAUUUUAAAAAUUCGAAAUAAUAAUAAUAAAAAAACUAACUUUUCUUAAAUUUUUUUCAAAAAAAUGAGGAGAAAAAGAAAAAAUAAAAAAGAAAAAAAAUGACGAGCGAAUUGGCCCCAACUCGUAUUUUUAUUGCUUUCGCGGGCCGGAUAUAAUUUGCGCAUAGAGGAACUCGUUCCAGGUGUCCGGCACGCCAGGCAGGCACCAGUGGAUGCAGUCGGCGUACAUCGCGGGGUUCGCCUGCUGCUCCGGUGUCAGCAGCUUGCCCUGCCGGAGGGUGUGGACGGACGUGUGCGCGUCCUUCCGGACCUCCGAUAGCGCGGUGAUGUUCACGAAGUGGACCGGCGUCCCCCGCCGGUUCAGCCACCGCGCCGUCUCCGCCGCCACCGCGAACAGCCGCCAGUCCGUGCCCAGCUCUAGCGGCUUCGUCCGGUUUGCCACCGGCGUCGUCUCCAGCGCGCACUUGAUGCCGUUCGGAUUGCCCCACCCGGCACUCCUGGCAUGCAAAGAAAAUCACAAUAUCAAGACGCAAUUGAAAACAAAUGUACGAACAUUCGAACUUCAAGGAUAAAAUUGUAUGAAUGUCCGAUAUACACUUCAUUUUAGAGUAUACCAAUCUCAUAUACCGUUAUGUUUAUGUAUAGGGUAAAUUGCACGUUUCGUCCUCAAACUAUGUGCCACAUGGCACUUUAGUUCUCAAAUUUUGACUUUUUAUAAUUUCUGAUUGAAACUUUCAGAAUUGUUAUAAUUAAAUUUCAUAAUCUAGUUUAAGUUGACUAAAUUUUGUAAAAAUAAUAUGAUCUUUUAAUUAUUGGCUUAUUAUCAAUCACAAUACAACUAUAGUACUUCUACAUUAGCGAUAUAUCAAUAUUUAGUCAACCAAAUUAGUUUAUAGAAUUAGAUUGUAAUAAUUCUAAAAAUUCAAAUAAAAAAUACAGCAAAUUAAAGUUUGCAACACUUAUCACCAACCUCAUAGUUUGAGAACAAAAUGUGCAAUUUACCCUUUAUGUGUAGUAUAUCAAUAUCUAAGAAUAAGCUAUCACUCAAUUUAAAGAGACAAUUUAAAAAGCCAACUUGAUGAACCAACAUUUAAACUGAUAGCCUAUAAAACAUAUGUAGAAGAACUUUUAAGUGUUCAAACUAAGAAACUGAGCCGAAACCAAACCGAGAUUUUCGGAUUGUUUCGAAUUCGUUUUUUCCACACUAACCCAAAUAAUACUCUUCAAACAUCAAUCUAAAUUUCAAUACAUGUGAUAGAAAAUAUUCUUCGAAACAUCGAUGUAAUAGGAAACAGUUCAAAAAUUGUCUAAACACCCCUGAUUACAUGUGUGAAUGUGCCAUAAAAAUGCAGGAAACAGCCCAGAUCAUGGGUACGAGUGAAUGUGCCAUGAAGAUGUAGGAAAAGGUCUGUUAAAUAUAAAAAUAUAUAAACACUGUUCUCUAACAGUUUAAGCUUUUAGAGUACAGCGGUUGUUUCGUAUUACUUCACAUGGUCUGCAAUAUGUCUCAACACUCGCGAUCACGCGUGAAUAGAGGAUGUAUGACAUAAAAAUGACGAAUACAGGAAUCGAACUCCAAAUCUUCGCGAAAUGGAGGAAAUUUAGGAUUGAUUUUGAUAUCAUGUUUUCCGAAAGAUCGAUCAAAUAGAAAACGACAGAGAAUUUGUCUUAAGCAGAAAGACAUUCAGAUAUACCAUGUUUAAUUUGUUAAAAGAAUAAUCAAGUAGGAAAUAAAAACAGCAUUAAUCUUAACAGAAAAGACAUUCUCAUAGUUUAAGGGGGUUCUACAGGCCUAUUAUGUUUUUCAGAAGAUCGAUUAAGCACGAAAUUAAACAAAAUUUCUCUUAACAGAAAAGACAAUUUGCAGUUGAGGGGAUUCGCCAAAUUUCUACGAACUUUGAGCUUUAGAUCAUUUAAAAAUGACUACAUAAUCUUUAAAAUUUUGAUUUUACAACCUAACAUUUCAUUUUAUUUCAUUUUAGUUGUUUAUUAGUUUGAAAAACCAAUGCAUGCACCCGGUGCAUUUGUACAUUCAUACACUGCACUUUUAUUAUUCAUUCAUUUAUCUAAUUCUUCAAUUUUUACCAUCUGAUAAUUUAUAGCUUUUUAGUUAAAAAAUUAAGCAAUUAUAUUAACAACAUGCAUGAGAUGCAUUUAAAAAAGAAUAAAGAUCUAAUGUACAAAUAUCUAAAUGCACUAGUUACACGCAAUUACUUUUUAGAAGACAAAUCAAACUAUUUAAAAGAUUAAACAAUAAACUUAAAGAUUUUAAAAGUUGGAUAGUCAUUUUCAAAUAAUCUAAAGUUUUGAUCAAUUCUAUAUAAUUUUAUCUAACAAUUAUUAUUAUUUUUUGAGAGAGAAAAGUAGCAUAGCAUGCUACAGCUCCGUUCAAGCAUGGAAAAUAGUUUUUUUUCCAUAAAAUGUUUGAUUUUUUGUUUUAAAAAAAAAACUAACUUUUCUUAAAACCAAAUGUUUAAAAAAUUAAAAAACUAGAAAAGAAGUUUUCCAUGAUUUUUUUUUUCAUAUUUCUUCUAAAAACCAAACAGCAUUUUAGUCGGAAAUACAAAAAAUUACACUUCAAACAUAAAAUCUCUUAUACCAACUAUUAAAUUCUUUACCGCAUAUUAAAUAAUGGAAAACCUUCAAAUAUCACUACGGUGGUUUCGUACUUUUUUAUUUUAAUACCAUGUGGUUUAAGUGUAUCAAUUUAGUAUCCCGUAGUUUUAUUUUUCUCUUUUUGUUAUCUACUCUACUAAUUUUUUUUUUUUCUUCGUUAAAUCAGUGAAAAAGUUAAAACUAAAAACGUACUAAAGUGAAUAUUCGAUAAAUCUAGGUGGGGUAUUUGAAGUUUUUUGUCUAUAAUUUAACAAAAUGUUAACGGAGAAGCUGACGAAAAGAAAAAAAACAAAAUUAUAUAGUACUAAGUUGAUACAUAUUAAAAUAUAGAAUACUAAAAUAAAAAAAAUACGAAACCACGGGAGCGGUAUUUAAUGUUUACCUUUAAAUAAUUAAUUGAACAUGCAUUAAUGCGUAAUAACCUUUUUAGGCUAGGGGUCCCUUUUAGCACGUGCGAUUGGUGGUGUGCAUGAGUGUGCGCGAGCGAGCGAGCGUGAUAAUUGAAGCACUCCAUCAUUAUUAUUAUUAUUAUUAUUAUUAUUAUUACCAUAGAGAGAGUCAUGUGAUGUUGGGUACUCUCAAAGGGAAAACGACAAAGCGCUUUUAUGAACAGGUGCGUGACACAUCAUUAUUGUGGACCUUUCCCUAAUAAAAAAAAAACGAAUCUCGAGUAACGCAACAGUUGAAAAGGAUAAUUUUUUUUUUUUUUUUUGUUGUUGUAUUUUGCCUAAACUGCACAUUGGAUUCCCAAACUAUGAGAUUAGUUACGCUUCGAUUCUCAAAGUUUGAUUUACGAUUAAUUACAUAAAAUUUUCUAUAAAUAUAAAAUUUUUAUCCAUUUGACUUUAAUCGAAUAGUUAAAACUUUAGAUAUAAAUAAUAUUUUUAUAAUUAAGUUGGGCUUUAUAUUUAAAUUAAACUAAAAGCCAAUUAUUUACUUAUAUAUAAAAAUAAUAUAUGUAUUCAAACUGUUAUCGAGCCGAAUACGAGCUCGUUCGUGUUCGACUCGUUUAUCAAACGAGGUGAAAAAUUCAGCUCGUAUUCAACUCAUUUAUUAAUGAGCGAUUCGAUUUCGAUCUCAUUUUCAGCCGAACACGAGCCGGUUCGCGAACAACAAGCUGGAUUGCCACACUUAGUUCCAGCAUAGUAUAAUAAUACAAAUUCUCAAAGAAUCUUUCUGUGAGAAUCUUAUGAACAACUUACAAAAAAAAUUUAUUUAAUCAAGUAGAAUAAUAAAAAAUAUAUUUUGUGUGUGACUGAAUAUAAAAAUGAGUUAUUGAGCUGAAGAAGAAAAUCUAUGAAAAUAUAUAUAUUAUCCUAUUUGAUUAGGAAAGCUAUUAAGGUUUGGUUUUAGUCCAACUCCUGCAGAAUUUUUGGUACAAAAAAAAAUAAAUUAAAACUUCUACCGAUCUGCAACAUAAAGCUGAAAAAAAAAAAAAUUAUAAACCUCAAAAAGUGGAACCUAUGGAUUUUGGAUUGGGUUAGGAAUAUGAUGUGGUAGAUCUAGUUUGUUUAAUUAUUUCACCUUGUGUGGUGAGUACUGAGUACUAGCCUCAGCAUAAUUAUGUUGAGCACUAAGCUUUUAUUAAAGUUUUUCUCUUGCAUGCUUUUACGUAUUUAUAUUUUAUUAUCACUCUACUCUACGGUUCAAAAAAUUCCGGUUUUAUUAUCUUUCACCGUAAGAAUCUAUUAUAAACAAAAUAAUUAAUAAUAUAUUUUACGAAUCACGGAACGAUACAAUACAACAUUUUAUCACUUCAUAAUUUAUAAUUUACUAGAGUUGAAAAAGAACAGGAACCAACUCAACGUGUUUGUGAUUUUUCAUCCAUCGGAUCGCAUCGAAAUCCGUGCAGUGUUAAUAGAGAAGACUUGACGGGAUUCAUCGUUAAUAGUGCUGCACACGGAUCGUAAGAUGAUCCGUGCAGCUAAAAAGUCACGAGAGCUCAACAUACUUUUAAAUUUUUAACCGUCGAAUCGUCUCGAGAUCCAUGCAGCACUGAUAAAAGAGACUUGACGGGGCUCUCAUGUCGUUUACUUACGGUAAAAUAAAAAUGCGCUAAAUUACGAUGGCAAAUUAAAAAGAUUCACCCAAAACAUUUUAAAAGGAGGUUCAAAUUAAGAGAAAGAUCAAUGCUUACUUGAUAUGAAUGGGAGAAGAGCUCAUGAAGAACACCAUUGUUUUCCUCAGAUCCACAUUCUUCUCCACCCAUCUAGCCCACGUCUUCAGCACCCUCCGGUACGCGACCGGCCGAUCGAUCUCGUCGUACUUCGUCGAUCCUUUAUCGAACGAUCCCCGCCUUUCCCCCNCCCCCACCAAAAAAACAUAUUUUAAACAGACUCAGUUAGCUUUAACAGCUGAAAAAAUCAGAAACACCGACAAUAAAAAUGAUUCAUUUCGAACCAAAAUAGGAUCUUACAGGACUUUCAUUCUGGGGGUGUUCAUCCACCAAAUGUAGGUGUUGAAGAUGAGGUAGUCCACCCCCUUCCAGUUCGCGGCGUGCUUCGCGAUCGACGUCGGCAUGAUGAUCCGGUUCUGGAUGCUGUGGAUCGUCGGAUCGUCGGAGUUCGACUCCACCAGGAACGGCGCCCAGUAGAACUCCACCGUCGCGUUGUACUCCUAAUUUUGUUACACGUUUCAAAACAAAAUAAGCUAUAUUCUUACUUCAAUAAAAUUUAUUUAUUUUUACCUUCAACUACUCAAUUAGUAUCAGAUCCAAAUUUCAAAAUUUCUGAAAUUUAAAUUUUUAAAUUUGAAAAUAUGUUUACCUGGAGUGUGAACACAUUGAGCGAGCCAUUUUUGACCAGGGUUUUUUUGUCCCACGGUGCGACCCACUGGAGCAAGCACACCAUGGACUCCCACUGAUUCCGGUUCAACGAGUCCCCCACGAACAUUAAGCGCUUCCCCCGCAGCUUCUCCAGAAGCGCUUUUGCGUCAAACCUUAUCCCAAAAACACACACAAAAANNNNNNNNNNNNNNNNNNNNNNNNNACCAAAAAAAAAAAAAAAACUUAUUAGAUUAGAUCUGCGUGGAGAUCGAUGCUACCUAAUUAAUUUUAGAUAUAGAUAAUAAUUUUUUGAUAUAUUAUGCAUAGGUUCAAAUAAUAAUAGCAGUUAUUAUUAAUUAUUUACAAUGCAUGCCAUGCAGAUCUGCCUUAAUUAAUUACGUGUGUAUCUUUGUUGCCAAAAAUAAAAAUUAAAAAAUUAAAAAGAGGCCGCACAAAUUUUUAAAAAAAACUUGAAGGAAAAGAAAGAUUUUGCUCGAUCUCUCAGUAGGGAUGCAAAGCAGCUGAUCUGGGAGGAGUGUUCCAGGUUUUUUUUUUUUUUUUAAUUGUACUUCAACAAAAAUUUGGUCCAAACGUUAUGAGAUCAAAAUCACAAAAUUCAAAACAUAAUUAUAAUCAAAAUUUUUUGGGUAACAACUAGAAGAUUCUCAUUGUUUUCCUUAAUCCUCAUGCCUCACCACUGAAAAUCUCAGAUCUGUGGGGAGCAGUGGCAAGGACGGAGAAAUUGCACAUUUUUUCACAAGGAGAGAAAAAAUAAAAUUAUCAUUUUAAUACAAAGCGGGCACAAAAAGAGAGGAAGGAAUUUUUUUCUCUUUCUAAAAUAAAAAAAAAAAAUAGUACCAGUAUAGUCCGAAAAAAANGGGGGGGAAGAGUGAAAGAGGGUUUAAAGACCAGACAGAGGUUGGGGCAGAUCACGAUCGAUCGAUGGCGGUGGGUGGGCAAGACAGAGAGACAGAGAAAGAGAAAGGGUGGGUGGUGAGCUUGGUCCACUCUUUCUCUUUCUAUCUCCUCGUUAGAGAGAGAGAGAGAGAGAGAUUAGGAAUUGAGAAGGGUGGGUGUGAGGUCUACUCUUUCUCUUUCCAUCUCUUAUUUAAGUUUUUUUUUUCUAUAUUUUUUUUCGAAAAUUAUUUUUAAUUAGUGGAGAUUAGGGAUGUGAUAGCUGAUUAUUGAUAAUGUGAUGUAAAUAUUGUGAUGGGUGAUUAUUGAUAAGGCCACGUAAAUAUUAUAUAAGUGGCUUUUUUUUUUUUUUUUUCUCUGUGUGACACAAAAAAAUUCUACUGUAUGAUUCUUACAGUACAUUAUAAAUAACCAACCAUUCAAUUUUUUUAAAAAAAUAUAAUAAAAAUAUUUGUUGAAUAAUUAUUAUUAUUUUUUAGGAAAAGGUAGAGCAUGCUAACUGAUUUGUUUACUAAAAAUGUGAAUCAAUUAGGAUUCGAACUUGAAAUCUCAAGUACCAAUUACCAAGCCCACUGGCAUUCGAACUUGGGACAUCAAGUAACAAUCAUCAAAUUCUUUACCUCUUGCGCUAGCCAGGGACAUUCAGUUAUUAUUGAAAACGCUAUAUCAAUAUAAAGGUCAGACUUUUUUCCCUUUUUGAGACACAUUUUUUCUCUCCUCUUUUGAUUUGGAUGCAUGGUGAAGAAAAAAUCUAAAGUGCACUAGUUAUAUUGCUGAUGUGACAUUAAUUUCCAACUAAUUAGAUUUGCUUCACUCAUCUCAUUAUUGAUUAUUAGAGAAAUAUUUUUAUUUUAUUUUUAUUUUUUUUAAAAAAAGAUGUGAUUGGUUCGUAAGUGUUACAAUAUAGACUUUUUCAUGCAUGGUGAAGAGGAUGCUUCUUACAUUAAUCGUACUCUUUGGGGUUUAAUUUUUUAUUGUUUUGUGAUUUUAUUUGAUUAGUACUGUUUGGGGUUGUACCCUCCCAACAGGGGUCCAAACGGGAACAGGCGAACAGCUUCGUGGAAUCUAUAAGAGGGAGGUGGUGGACGCGGGUCAAAUGCGUAGCAUGUAAGCUUUUAUAUAUAUAUAUAUAUAUAUAUAUAUAUAUAUAUAUAUAUAUAUAGAGAGAGAGGUUUUACUAUCGAUAAUAAACGAACUCAAUUUACUACCGAUUUAUUUUCGUAUUAUAGCUUUCAAAUUGAUGAUGCGCACAUUAAACAUAAUCAACAAUAUUUAAACUAUUUUGGAAAUCAAAUUUCACACAUUUUCGAUAAUUGUUCUCUUGUGCCAUCAAGUGGAGCAGAAAAUGAAUGGCUGGAUAAUAAUAUGCCUUUAAAAAGUGAUGAUACAAUUUUAUAUUUGAGAUCUAGAGUUUAGAUCUAUUUUAAUAGUUUAAAAAAAAUUUUAACAAAAAUUUAGUUGAUUUGAUUCUCUAUACUGUUAAACGAGCAAAACCGUACCAUAUCGGCUAUUAAAAUUAUAGAUUUUGUGACCCUUUGAUCGUUCAGUUAGUGAUGCUAAAAAAUCAUGAAAUUUGAUUUCUAGAUAAUUUAAAUAGUCUAGAUUAUGUUCAACGGUGCCGAUCGUCGAUUUGGAAGCUGUAUCAUCAAAAAUAAAUCAGUAGUAAACCGAGCAGUUUACUACCAAUAGUAGCCCAAUCAAACUCUAUAUAUAUAUAUAUAUAUAUAUAUAUAUAUAUAUAUAUAUAUAUAUAUAUAUAUAUAUAUAUAUAUAAUUUUUGAGCUAUAUACCAUAGCUUUUCCAUAUAUAUGCGUAGCAUGUAUUUAUAAGUAAUCUUGUGAUGCUUAUUGUUUUGUAAAUAAUUAACUUAGUAGGGGUGCCAUUAAAAAUCUAUAUAAAUAGAGUUGCCCUAGAUAUAUACACCACCGCGGUAUUUUAAUUACGGACUAAAACAUGAGAAGUUUGAUCCUUCCUCAGCUCGCAUGUUUAUUAUUAGGAUUUUUCAAGUACCCACAAGAAAUAAGAAAUAAAUAGAAAAUUUUCUUUGCUUUCAGGUACGAGCAUCUUGUCUUAUAGGCUUAAUUAUAGCAGAAAAUUAGAUUACGUCAAAUCAUGUUCGAAACAAUAUAUCCGAAGUUUGUGUGAGACUGAUUGGACCGAAUCAUAAUCGAGACUCGUAUAUGCUUUAAAUGAGUUAGUUGUAUAUUUUUAAAAGCUCUGAUUUUUGGAAUUAGCGAUUAACGCCAAUGAUUCAACAAAUGGUAUUAAUUACGAAUUUUUAUCGCAGCGUCUAAUUAAUAUAAAGUUUUAAAAUUUUUUUUUGAGAGAAAGGUAGUAUAUUACCCGCUUCGUUUAUUUUGUUUUAGAUAUAAACUUAACUGAAAAUGUGAAGCAAUUAGAAUUCGAACCUGAAACUUCAAAUACCAACCACCAACUCCUUUGCUACUUGUGUUAAAGACGGUCGGUAAGUUUAGAAUUAUUAAGACGUUUAUGUUAACAUUUAAUGAACAAUAAAAAAGAAUUACUAAGAUGGUUAAAUGAUGACAAUACAAAAUUAAGGAUAAUUUGGUGCUAUGUACAAACUUAAGGACUUUGUAGAAGAAGAGUACCACUCACAAUAUGUACAGAAGAUUUUAUAUAUUUUAGCCUUGUUUUAUAUUUAGUACCUAAAACAUACUAUUUAUUAAGAACUUAUGAAUUUUUAAAAAUAUAUACCAUCUACAAUAUAGUUUUUUUAUUUUAAAAAAUAUAAAUAUAUAGAUAUAAUAACACAAGUCGGGAUUUCAACCGGUCGAAUUCGGACAGAUUUUAAAAAAAAUAUGAACCUGAACCCGACUAGUAAAUCCGAAAUCCGACAUAUUUGAAAAAUCUAUAUUCAAAUUCAAAUUUAACCAAAAAUUCGAAAUCCGAAUCCGUACCCAAAAUAGUUAUUUUUUUUACCAUAUUUCAAAAUAUAUUAUAUUAAAUUUAAUUAAAAUUUUUAAAAUAUAAUUUCAAGUAUAACAACAAAUACUUUUAUAUAGAGUCCGACUGGGAUACUAUUGAUAACACAAAGUGUCACGCCCCGGAUUACACAAUUUUCGGGCAUGUCGACAAAUCCGCCGUAUUCAAAGAAUUUUUCUUGUAUACGAAGCGUAUCGGUAACAGAAAAUAUACAAUACUACAACCAGUAGUAUAGAGCUGUAAAGAAACCAAACAGGUAGAAUAACACAAGUCUCACAUACAAACAACAAAACGCUAUACAAAGGUUCUCGCUCCAGCGAGUCAUAAUAACUGUAUGUACAUGAACUCAACAAAAUAAACUGAAACUACUUGCAGGGGUGGAUCCUCUAUCUCAGCAACUCGUCGGAUAGGGCUCUAACUCGCGACGCCCUUGCCUCGGUCCAGAUCAGCAACAGCAGCUGCCGAAGACGAUGGCUCUGCAAAAUAGGGUAACAACAGGGCGUGAGAACUACUGUAAAACAAGUAGUCCUCAGUGGGUGCCGCCCUCAACAAUAUCGGUCCACCCACUAAGUCUACAGAAGGGAGUAAGGAUAGUAGUACAUGCAGGAAUAAAAUCUACCGCUAUGAAUCACUAUAUUAUCAUGCUCUACACUAACCAACUGUAGGAAAUGUCAAAUCUGACUCAAUUAAAUCGGGACUGUAAGCAUACCCGUCCCUGUGACUAUGAACACACCCGUCCCUGCCCAGUUGCGACUAACCAGCUACCUCCACACUAUCUAGUCCGUGGAGAGCAAGUCCAACCGGCAUGAGCGACACCAACGCGAAAGCACAACGCCCGUCUCCGGAGUGGCACUCGUGGGAGCUAACCAACCGAGUAUGCAGCGUAUCUCUGUCGAGCUCAAUCAGGCUCUACCUCAAGCCAAAAUCCAAGUAACCGACUCUAACUGGUCUAACCACCAACAGGUCACGUGCUGUCACACCCCGAGCUCCGCCAAUUUGGUCGGAUUCGAGCACAUGACAGACGCCGAACGGACAGUACUUCCCCUAUCCACCCAAGGCUCCAACAACAAGUAUAUUACAAGCAAAUCAUAAAAGAGAAUUGCGGAAUAUACAAGGUUUGCACGAGGGCAAACAACAACCACAAGUGAAAUCAUCGAAGCUAUCUAAACAUCCAACAUACAAGUCAUUUGAUUUCCUUUGAAUCAAACACAAGUAGUCUAUUACAUCUACAUCAUUCUUUCACAUCACGUUUUUCUUUAACCAAAUACAUUGUUUACACCCUUCUUACAUUACCCAAAAUAUAAUUUACAUUUCUUGUUUUACAUCAUAUACAGUUCAACACCUACAGUUGAGAACACCAAAAUGUAGGGUAUACCUAUAUCUCGAGGGCCGCUAGCUACGGCGCAACACCCUUGCCUCGAUCCUCCGCCGUCUCGCUCACGCACGGAUCUACAGGGUUAGUGGUAAUGAAAACUAGAACGAAGUUCCCAGUGGGUUCGGCCACCGACCACGCCGAUUCGCCCACUAGGUCUAAUUCAGGCAUAUGUAUUUCAAUAAAGAAGGAUAACAAACCAACUAAUGCACUUCUAAUACAAUGCCUGCAAGAAAGCAAAUCACAGAUAAAUAUUCACAUUCAAAUACAUGAUGAUUAUGCAUGCAUGUCCUUUUCACUUUCCUUUGGCCUUUACCCAAUCAACCUGGGGUGCUCCUGGUUUACCCCAACUCACAGUCCAUAUAUCCCGUCUAACGAGAGAGGCGCAAGGCACAACCACCCGAAGGAUCUUCGCCGCGCACUUUCACCUAUGGUGUUUUAUUACUCCGGAGUACACCGCUUGUAGAGGAGCGACCUCCACAAGCCGGAACCAAUACCUGUGAGUAUGAUCCCAUCCUCAAUUUGAGGAGGUAUAGCCAAACCUGUCUCAUGCCUCAAUAUCUCAAUGCUAAUGAUAGGUUCUACCAUAUCAUAUACCGCCAAUCUGAGCCGCAAUGGUCCUGAUGCCGUGAUACGCAUAAUGCCACUUGAGUUAACGUUGUUUAACUAUACUCAUUUCAAUGCCAAUCGAGUCACUGUAGUCAAUGUCACCGUUAUUUACUAUAGUCAUAGUCUUCUCUCACAUUCACAUGCAUAUAGGGUUAUUCGUUUUUUUGUUGACAUGUGCCUAUCUCAUUCACAAUAAUCUUAAGCAGAUAAUUGAUACAAUCAACAUAUACCAUUCAUUACCCUACAUGCGAGAAUGUAAUAAUAACAACAUGCUCAAAAGUAGUGACAUAGAUAUAGAAAGAGACUCGGUGUUUUCGGAUAGCACCUCCCACCUUUGUGUGAUGCUAGGAUGCCGUGGUCCUGUUUUCACGAUUUUUAGACACUUUCGCCGCGAGCUGCGGAAAUCUAUACCAACUCGGCUUCUUUUUUCAAUAUCUUCGCGCACGCUCGUCGUAUCGCCAAAUUGAGCGCACCGAUGCGUUCGUUGACCUACCAAUUAGGUUAAAAAGAGAUCAAUCCCAAGAUUGAAUCUCAAAAUCCAAAAACCCUAAAGUUAGGUCCUUGUACAACAUUAUCUUCUUCAACUAAGUUCCUAAUAUGGAUAAUCAUGGAGGGAAAUACCAUAGAAGCUCCUAGAUGCAACAACUAGAAGCAGAAACUCAAAACUUAACUUAAAAUCACAAGAACUCACAUUUGGAGUCCAAAACUUUCCUUCAAAGCCUUGCUCUAGCUUGCUCUACACCUUGGAGAGCUUCUUCUCCAAGUUUUUCUCUUCCAAAAGCCCUUUUGGUCCAAGCCCUAGAGAGAGAGGGAGAGAGAAAGGAGAGGUUUUUUAGAGAGAGAGAGGGAGAGGUUUGUGUGAGGGAGAGCAAAUGAGCUCUCACCCAAGCCCUAGCUCAAAUAACCCUUCACAUGUCACUUUUGCACAUAAGCUCCUCACAUUUCCAUUUUUGCAACCAGCCCUUACUGGGUAAUUUCGGGCUCGGGGACCGGUCUCUCCCUUCAGGAACCGGUUCCCGAGAGCUAUCCUGCAAUCUGCGCAGAAGGAGACCGAUCUCCCCCCGACACAACCGGUCUCUCGGGACCGGUCUCCCGUCGAAGGACCGGUCCCCGAGAGCUCGAUCUCCAGGACUUAGCCGAUUUUUCACCUCGUUCGGCUGAUCAACAUUCGGGAACCGGUCUCUAACCCAAGGGACCGGUCCCCGAGACUAAAAUUUCUGGGACUUCUCCAGAAUUGCAGUUUCACUCUCUCGGGUGCCUUUAUACUUUACAUAUAGGCUCCAACGCACUUCUAGCCUAUAGUAACUCGUUCCUUUCCGCGUUCGGCACAUUUCGACGGAACUCGGCACGGCUUACAGGGAAUCACUAUGUUACACGUGCCCUCGGCACAAUCCGUCGCCAAAAAGGCGAUACAGGUUCACCGUCAACCUCGACGGUACCCAACAGUCCGGAACAGCCUGAACGCUACUAUAAAAAUAUACUCGGCAUCCCAGCACGAGUGUAACUGAAAGCUAAACUACCCGGAAUACUCACUAAGAGGAUACUGCUACAGUAUAAAAUAAUACAACGGCCCCUAGGGCUAAAUCAGAUAGUGUAAUUGAUGACAGGUCCAGCUCGCCGGUUUUCUCCUAAUUUAAUUUCCAAGUCCAACAUGUAUAAAUUACUUAAUUUAUAUCAUAUGCUCCAAAUAUAGAUUUGCAAUUCACAUAAUAAUCCAUGAAUUCGAGCUAAAGUAAACUACACAAAAUCUAAAAUUUAUACAUGUUGACUACUAAGCACUUAGGAGUAUAAGCCGAUGAUUAACCCACCUUAGUCGCUAAUCCCCGACAGCGAGGAAGUCCCGACACAAGGGAAUACCCUGCUGGAUCAACCGAAAACCUCCAAAGCCAGAAGUCAAGCUCCCGCCAAACUCUACACGUAGAAUCCGACAAUAAGCAUCAAUUCUGCCUCAAAAAUAGCAGCAGAGAAGACUAUAAUUCCGACCCAGCAAACCUUCACCAAAUCCAGCAAAUAAGGGUUUCGUGGAUUCCUCUCGAAGUUCUGAAUCCAACGAACCAAGUCUCGUCGAAAUCCGACGCUCCUACGCCGAGAACGAGCCGAAACACCGACGGUCGACGCUGGAAAUCAGCAAAACAGCACCCACGAGCUCAAAAUAGCACGUUCAAAUAAUUCAGGGAGGAAAAUUAGAUACCCACCUCGACAGCGAUUCCAGCGCCGACGUGACGUUGAGAACAGCGAAAACACUCCCUCGUCCGGCCUCCUUGCGACACAACGGCGGCGAACGUACGGCCGAACGGCUCCGCGGCACGACGUCAGCGAUGAAAUACUCUACCCGAGCUCCUCCACGACCGGUUUAGCUAGAGAGAGAGAGAAGAAGAAGAAGCAGGAAGAGAACUCCCUCUCAAACUCUCUACACCUGUAAAUAGCAAAGGGGUGGAGUGGUGACACGAACGAGGUGAGAAAAGACCCGAUUGCCCUCUCACCUACCCUGGCGUACCGGUACACGAGCUCACGUACCGGUACAAGAAGCCAACCCGAGAGCAGUCUGCGCGCAGCUAGUGCAGUGUACUGGUACACCACGAUGGCUGUACCGGUACAGCAAGCAGAAAAAUAGCUAUUUGCAGAUUUUUCUUGCUAAAUGCUGCUCUUGCGUCGCACAGAGUCCGUUUUGCGUCUAUUUCGCGCCAACACGACUCAGACUUGUCCCGACACUCUCCAGAGCUGUCGACAAGCCUUCACUGCCGAACACCAGGGAUCUCACACAAAGUAUUUGAUGCUAUCAAGUUUUCUGUCGUAUAGAUUUAACUCUUUGACUAUUUUUAUCCGUUAGAUUAUACUAUUAAACUAAUAACUCACUCAACCCUAGAGGGCCCACAUCAUUCUAACCGUAUAUUUUUUCAUCCAAGGGCCGAAAACCUAAUAGCGCUAAUAAUUUGGUGCUAUUGAUAGUAUUCUAGUCUAGUUCCUUAUAUAUAUAUAUAUAUAUAUAUAUAUAUAUAAUAUAAUAUAAUAUAAAAUUUGUUGGCAUUCGGUUAAAUCGAAUCGGGUACGCCCAUAAGCGGGUUCGAUCCGACGGAUGUUAUGUUAUCUAAUUGGAUUGGAAUUAAUCUCGCUUUCAAAUUGGAAAGUAAUUUGAGAUGAAUCCUAGUCAUAUUAGGAUAACAAUUAAUAACCGAUUUGGCCUCAUCUCUAACGCUAUUAGGAUUUUGGAAUCCCUUAUAAAUAUGCGGGCGAUCCCACAUAAAAUAUAGAACGAAAAAGAGAGAAACAAGAACGGAAAAAGAGAGAGAAUAAGAAAAUAAUAGAGAGAAACCGCAUCCUCCAUUGAUCUAUUAUUCUAGAGGGACUUGCACGGUGGAUUUGCGAUCGCGCUCGUUUGUAGUUCGAUCCACCGCGAGUUCGGGGAAUUAGAAGAUUUUCAAGAAAGAUUCAAGGACACGUAAAUCAAUCUAUCCGAUCCGGCUCGAAUCGCUUCCGCAAAAAUGUACGAACCGAUAACUGCCGCUGCGUUCUACAAAAUUAAUUCGGAUUCGGAAUUUGUUCGAGUUCGGAUCAGGUACAGAUAAAAUCUAUAUCUGAAUCCAAAUUCAUCUAGUUUUCGUUUUCUAUAUCAGUAUCUAAUACUAUACACGUUUAGCAUAGGAUAAAUUCACUUUAUUCGGAUAGGUUCGAAUAAAAUUCGGAUAUCCGUAUAUAUUGACAUCUCGAAAUACAAGAAUAUUUUAUAUUUAUAUUCGAAAAUAUGUACGUUCAGCAUAGAAUAAAGAUUUAGAUUUAGAUUUAGAUUCUUGAUAAUAUUAUAGUUAUCCGUACCCAUCCACAUUCCUAAAUACCAGGAUACUUUAUACACGUAACUUUGUUAGUCAUUAAAAAUAUAUUGUACCAUGCAGAUACAUUUAAUUGUCGGUUAGGUUGUUACCAAUCAAUAUGUGUGGUUACGGGGACAGUUAAUUAAAAUUUAGUGGCAAUUAAGUUGGAUAUAUAUUUUGGGGAAUUUAAUUUGCAAAAUUUGUUAAGUAAAAGUACCAAGGAAUGAGAUGCACCAACACACUAUUAUAAAUCAUAUCAUGCAUUGCAUGUGAUCCGUACUCUUGGCUCUGACCCGUGCACCGAUCGUGGUGGGCCCGAUCUAAUUAAGACAAUUAUUGGUCUUUGUCUCAAAUUUUCCACACAACUUUAUCACUACCUUUGGAAAAGUCCCCUGUGUAAUAGUGACACUGUGUAAAAAUAAUAUGAUAUUAUAUAAAAAAAACAGUUUAUGGGAUCAUUGGUGUUGGCCAUUAGUUUUAAAAAUUCAAGUGAUAGAAAUACACCAUCAAUUCAUUCAAAAAUUAUAUAGUUACAUGUAUCUUUAACUGUACUGCAGUGUAAAUUUAUUAUUUGAUUUGGUAUAGUUAAGCUCGACAAUUGCAGUUGCAUUUAUAUAAGAAGGUCCAACUGUUGUAGCUGGUACUGCAACCGUUGGGUCGGCGUUGUCACACCCGUUUAAAUAAAAAAACAACGUGUGAUUUUUUUUCGUUAGCUUCACUUUUAUUUAAUAAUUAAAAAAUUACAUGAUUAUUUUUUAUGUUUAGAGGAGGUAAUAUCACCCUUUUAUUUAAAAAGUAAUAGGAUUCAUAAAUAUAAAUUUCAGCUUCAGUCUACCAAGCAGAAAAAAUAUAAUUCUAUAGAACCAAAUAGAUUGGGUGCAGUUACAGCUAUAAUAUUUGCAACUGCAUAUAUUUUCAACUAUACUGUUUUGACAACUACAUCCAACUAAACGGUCCCUUAAGGCAUACGGAAACAGUGCUUACAGGCUCGUUAAAGUAUCGAGCCGAAAAAUUCAGCUCGUGUUCGGCUCGUUUAUUAACGAGCCGAACACGAGAUGGCUCACGAGCUGGCCAACGAACAAUAAAUUAAAAAGAAUUAGAUUAAAUAUAUAUAAAAAAUAAAUUUAUAAAAUCUUAUCCAUUACUUUGAUCUAAUAAUUGAAACUUUACAUAUAAAUGUGUCUUUUUAUAAUUAAGCUCGCAUUUAUAUUUUUAUUUUGCUAAAAAUUAAAUAAUAAAAAUAUAUAUUAUAUAUAAUUAUUUAUUUAUAUAUAAAAAUAUAAAUUAAAUAAAUUAUAUAAAUAUAAAAUAUAUAUAUUCGAGCUGUGGCCUAUGUAAAUACAUAGGCCACAGAAAUAUAUGUUCUGGGCUAGUGUCGCAAACUAGGGCCUCAGUCCAACAAAUCUNCCGAACACGAGCUGGCUCGCGAACAGCGAGCUGGAUUGCCACCCCUAUUUACAGGUCUCGAUUAUGGCUCGGUACAACCAGCCUUAUGUUCGAACAUGACUUGGCAGAAUUUGGUCUUCCACCAUAGAGCAAGACGCUGGCCACUUUAAGCCAACAAUUAGGACAACAAACGACUAACAUUUAAUAACAUUAUUAUAUUUAAUAAUAAUUUUUAUUUAACUAAUUAAAAUAAUUCAAAGUAAAAGUUAGAAGCUCUAGAGAUAUUAAUUGAAAAAAUUAAAGGUAAAAACUAAAUUUAGUAAAAUUAGCAUGAGAGACAAUGGGAGAGAAUUCAAAAUCAAUUUAAAAUUAAAACUGAAAUUUAAAUUUAAAUUUAUGUUUUAAAUUUGGAAUUCAAAAUCAAAGUUUGAAAAAAAAUAAAAAAAUGGAACUAAAAUCUAAAAUUUAAAUUUAAAUCAAAGCACAAAAUUUGGAUUUAAAAUUCUGAUCCAAAAUUCAAAAUACAAAAAUUCAACUUCACAAUGAGAAUUAAAUUUAAAAUUCAUACCCAAGAUCAAAAUUAGAACUGAAAUUUGAAUUCAAAAAUCUAAUUGUAAAUUUUGAAAUUUGAUUCAAAAUAUAAUUUAACUUUAAAAUUUAAAUUUAAAUAUAAAUUUAUGUUUUGAAUCCCAAACCAAAAAGAAUUAACCUCCCAAAAAUUAAGUUGAGGACCAAAAUUAAAAAAGAUGCUAAAAUUGGAGACUAAAUUGUAAUUAAUCAAAACAAUACAAAAUAUACCCCCAAAAUGGCUGCAGACUUUGCAUCCAUCCACCGACCGUCCCUAGAGCAAGUGACAAAAGGCUUGGUGGUUGGUACUCGAGACUUAAUUUCGAAUCCUAGUUGAUUCACAUUUCCAGCUACGGAUGUCAAUGGGAAUGGAUAUCCGAAAUUUUAUCCGAAUCCGAACCCAAAUGAAACGGAUAUAUCCAGUGGAUAUGGAUAUGGAUUCGGAUAUGGAUAUCAAAAAUAGAAACCCGACGGAUAUAGAUUCGGAUAUGGAUUUUGAUUGUACCCGACCCGAACCCGAACCCGACCCGAACCCGAAUUUAUUUUGUAUUAUAUAUAAUAUAUAUAUAGAAAAAUUUGAUGUUAUAUUUGAAUUUGUAUUUUAAAAAUUUAGGUUUAAUAUAAUAUAUUUUGAAAUAUUGAAAAAAGAAAUAAUUGUUUCGGGUUCAAAUUUUCGGGUUCGGGUUCGGGUUCGGGUUUCGGAUUUUUGGUCGGGUUUGGAUAUGGAUUUUUAAAAUCCGUCGAGUUCGGGUUCAGGUUCGGGUCUCGGGUUUGGAGUCGGGUUCGGGUUCGGGUUUUUAAAAAUCCGCCCCGAAUCCGACCCGUUGACAUCUCUAUUUCCAGCUAAGUUUAUUUUUAAAUGAAAUAACGAAACGGGUAACAUGCUACCUAACUCUCUCUCAAAAAAAAAAAGAAAAAAAGAAAAAAAAAACUUUGCAUCCAUCCCAUCCAAGGGUGAGAUUCACUCUGCUAGUCACAUCAUGUUACUAGUGGAAGAGUAGGAUGUACACCUAUUUUUGGGUGUACACAUAGUUUCUUCCAAAGAGCAAUGCAAACAGGUACAUAUUAAAAUGGGAUGUACAUUUUACACCCACUCCAUUCUAAGAUUAUUUUUGUCACUUUAAUUUUUUCAAAUUUUUCUAAAAAUUAAUUUAAUUUUUGUCAACUUAGAUGUACGGACAUUUUGUUUUUGGGUGUACAAGAAGCAUUUUUUUCUUUCCCAAAUAAUUUUCCUCAUGGGAGCUUCUGCGGUUGAGGCGUGGAAAAAAUGCGUUAAUGCACGAAAUUGUAUUCGGCCGCCCUUCCGAAAUUCACGCACGUUUUGGGCCAUCAAAAGUUGGGCUGACGGCUGCUAAAAGGUCUUCUUUUCGUAAUUUUUUGAAAUGGACUAAUUGCAUACAGCUUUAUGUAAAUAUAUCGAAUAAUAAUAUUCAUAUUUUUUCACUGAUUUAUUACAAUUUAGAGUAAUAUUUAUUUUUUUAACAGAAGAUAGUAAGUAAAAUGAUACGAGUAAAAAUGUCAAUUUUCAACCGUCGUAUUCUUUUUUUUUUACCAUCACUUAUAUUAAUAUAAGAGGGGUAAAAAUAUCAAUUUAUCUCAUUCACUGAAUAGGAUCAAGUAUUUUACCUAUGAUUAACUCUAUUUUUCUAACGGAUCCAAAAAUUCCCAACGGUCUAUCUUUUUCAUUUCUAUCAUCACAAAUAAUAUAAAAGGGGUAAAAAUAUUAAAUUACCUCAUUUACUAAUCAGGGUUAAGUAUUUUACCUAUAGUUAACUAUAUUUUUCUAACGGAUCCUAACAGUAGAGAUAUAUUUGGAAAAGUUAGAACCUUUGCAGGAAUAAAUAUGAAAAAUUAAAUCUUGUAGGAAUGUAUCUGCUAUUCGAUAUGUUUACAAGUAGCUGUAUAAAAUUAAGCUUUUUGAGAAAAAUACUAUAUGUACCCUCUAGGAGGUACAUUUUACAGUACUCUUUAGUCCAAAAAUUUAUAAAAUUUAAAAAUUUUUUAAAAAUUUUUUUAAAAAUUAAUACAGAGCAAUGCUAGGCAGUAGCCAUAAAGUGUAAAUUUUACACUUACAGACAAUUAUUGGUCCCCCUGUUUUAACUUGUUAUGUCAAUUUUUUAUUUUAUUAACACCAAAUUGAAUUUUUAUCGACCCUCGAACUUAGAAGUAUAAGAUUUACACUCCUAUAAAAUGUGUACCACUAGUAUUUAUAAUUAUUGAAGAGAAAUUUUACUUACGCACCUCAAAAGAAGGGUGUAGUUCUGACACCUUCCAUUCUAGAAUUUACAAAAAUUCAAAUAAUUUUUGAUAAAAGUAAAAAAAAUUGAUGUGACAAAUAGAAAGUUAAUAUUUUUUUAAUAAAAUGGGUAUAAAAUGUAUACUCUAGUUUGGAGUGUAUCAGUAGCAAUGCUUAUUUAUGAAAAGUAAAAUUAUAGUGAGACCCCUCAACUAUAUGCUUUUUUAUUUUUUUGAAGCAUGUCUCUCAACUUUAUUUUCUUGGUUGACGAGUCCUGGAAUUUUAUUGUUAUUAUUUUUUCUUGAAAGAAUGAUAGGACGAUAUCGACUUCAUAUAUUUUUAUAGAAAAGAACUUAGCUGGAUAUGCGAAGUAAUUGAAUUUCGAACUUAGAAUCUUAGAUACUAAUUAUUAAGCCAUUUGCUACUUGCGGCAGGGAUGUCGAUAAUUUUUUUUAUUGAAAUAAUUUUAGUUUGGUAGGUUAAAUUUUUUAUUUUGUUUAAUAGAUUUUAUUAGCUAUUAGUCAUUAUUAUUUUAAUUUUAUUCGGUAGAAAGUGAUUAAGGAUUCGUUUAGUACUAAGGGCUGUUUAAUGCUAUUGGAUAAAUAGAAGUUAGAGUAAAAGUAUAUAGCGAUAUGAUUUUUUAUUUUCUAAUAAAAUCGUAUAAAAUUUAUAUUUUAACCAAAUUAUUAUGAUAUGGGAAUAUGAUAUUAUUUGUACAUGAAAAUAAAUUGAAUUUAUUUUACCAUGCUUUUUAACUGCAUGUAACAUAACAUGCAUCCCUCCAAUCUCUAUGAAAUAAGAAAUCAUUAAAUUCGAUGGAACUACCAAUUAUUUUUAUGAAAAUCUUAAUUAGUUAACAAAAAUCUUUCAAGUUUAAAAAAAAUAAAAGUAAAGCCCUCUUUAGCAUCAUUGUUAUUUCUUACAUUCGUUAAAAAACUAAUUUUAUAUAUUUUGACAAACUAAAUAUGGCAAGUUCUUUAAUACUUAUAGGUAAUCUAUUGCCCACUACUCUUUUUAUAGAAAAAUUUAUUUAGAAAAAUAAAAACAAACACGAUACCAAAAAAUGCUAAAGAAAUGGCAGUAAAAACAAUAUUAAUUUGAAGGGAAUAUUUUUUUUGGCUAAAUUACAGAAAACCUCAUUGUAAUAACCCGCUUUUUCAUUUUCCCUCCCUGACAUUUAAAAACCUAUACUUUGCCCCCUUGUAAAAUAAAAAAUGUGCACUUCACCCCCUACCGUUAGGAUUCCGUCAGGAUUCUAUUAAAAAAUAUAUUUUUAUGCCGAAAAUAUCCCUCCGCCAUCUCCUUGUUGCUUCGACUCCCUCCGGCUCGCCACCUCACCGCCGCCUCGCUGCCUCGCCGCCUAGCCGCCUCGCCGUCCUCCACUGCCUCGCCCUCACCCACAUCCCCUUCGCCGUCCUCCGCCGUCUCGCCUUCGCCUUCUUUACCCUUCUCCUACUGUCGCCCACCUCGGUUUUCUCCUACUGUCGCCGAAAUCGAGGGCGGCGAGGGUGCAGGAGGAGAAGGGGAGCAGGUGGAGACGGAAAUGGAGAGAAAUUGCGGCCGAUUGAGAUGGGAAUCACGGUCGAACGAAGGGGCGGCUGAGGAAGAUGGAGAAGAAGACGACAAUAGUGAGGGGCAAAAUGGUCAUUUUACACACCGUAACCCCCCUGUGAACAUUUUUCAUUUUACAGGGGGGCAAAGUGUAGGUUUUUAAAUGUCAGGCGGGGAAAGUGAAAAAGCGGGUUAUUACAGGGGGAUUUUCUGUAAUUUAGCUUUUUUUUUUUUUGAGAGAGAGAAAGAGAUAGGUAGCACGCUAUCCGCUUCGUUUAUUUCAUUUUAAAAUAAAUUUAGCUGAAAAUAUGAAUCAAUUAGAAUUCGAACUUGAGACCUCAGAAAUCAACUUAGGAUUCGUUGAAAUUUUUAAUAUUAUUAAAAAUACAAUACAAGAGACUAACAAACAACAGCUUUUGAACAACGCAGUACAAAAUUUAUACUUUUUUUGAAAUAAACAGAUGGUAUUGCUCUUUCAAAAUUACCAACAGCGCGAGAGGAUCUCCAUUAAAGUGCCGGUACAGGUCGCUUGUCUAUCAUGGAACCGCUGGGACCCACUCUGUGUCGGCUUCUUUAAUGCAAAUUGUUUAGGUCUUGGAUUAAGAGGCUGCUUAGAAUCGAAAAAUCGGAGAGCAAGAAUGAUUUUGCAAUUUUGAUGCUAAAAGGAAAAUCAACUUAUACGACUUUUCCAAGUCAUAAGUUCAACCUUUGAAGUAACAAUUUAAUCUAGUUCAAACAAUAAAGAGAUGGUAAGAGAUUCAGUCAACCAAGUUACAAUUCAUUCAGGAAAAAAUUUUAUGUGUGCCCCAAUAAAAGCAUGUAUUUACAAGAAUACUCCUAUAAAAUUUGAAAUAUUUUAAGUGCCCCUCUAAAUAUAGAACACUUUCAAAAAUAUCCUUCAAAAUACAUUUUUGUUAAAAUCCACAGUAACAGCAACCAAUAUACCGAUUUUACCUUUUUCAUAAUUGCCCUUCUAAAUGUUCCAACUAUUACUAAUGAAGGGUUAAUUUCAUUCAUACCCCUCUAAACGUUCAGAUUAUCAUAAAUAUCCUUAUAAAUUUGAUUAUAUCACAAAUAUUGUUACAAAUACUUACUAUCUUAUAAAUAUGUUCUCGUCGUUAACUUCUGUCUCUCAACCAAACAUCUAUUUUAGAUAGAUUAUCAUGAAUUAGUGAAAAUAUCCAUUUUGUCAUGAAUUUUUUAAAAUUUUUUGAAAGAGCGCUUUAAUGUAAUGAAAUGUACAAUAAAUAAACUUUCAAAACUGUCACUUAUUAGUAAUUAGUUUAGAUAAAGAUACAACUAUUCAAUUUAAAUACUAUUAAAGUAUUAAUAAAAUUCAAUUCACUCUGUUAUUUAGCACAUUUGCACAUCGCCAACCUUGAUUAUAAAAUUUAUCAAAUAAUCUGAGUUUUUUUUUUAAAAUUUUUUGCAAACAAUGUUAAAUCACUUUAUUGUAAUUUCAAAUCUAGUAAGUAAUUUUAUGGUUUAUAAUUAAUGAUAAAACUUUGUAAUUUUUCAGCUAUUUAUUAUUUUCUCUCUCCUUUUUAAAAGAGAUUAGAAAUAUUUAAUUAUAUUGAAUAAGAUAGAAAUAUUAUUCUUUUAUAGUUCGUACAGAAAUCAAUAUAAAAAUCUAACUAAAUAACUUUUAAAUUUGUAAUAAUUUUAAAUUUAUGGAGUAUUUUCAAAAGUUAAAAUUAUUACUAAUAAUUGGAUCAUUUAAAAGGGCGAUUAUGAAAAGGGCAAAAUCGGUAUUUUGAUUGUUAUUACUGUGGAUUUUAACAAAAAUGUGUUUUGAAGGGUAUUUUUGAAAAUUUUCUAUAUUUAGAGGAGCAUUUAGGAUAUUUCAAUUUUUAUAGAAAUAUUCAUAUAAAUACGUACUUUUAGAGGGGUACACAGAAAAUUAUCCCUUCAUUCAAACUCACUGAUAGUUCAAUGACCACCCUGGGUUAUUCAUAAUUCCAAGUGUGGUGAUGGAUGUGACUGAUUAAGUUGCUUUAGUAAAUAGCACACACUAGUGGCAUGGAGAAGAAUAGUAUGGCAAGUAACCUUUACACAAUAGUGUGGUACACUCAAAUUGAAUGGGGGGGCCUAUUAAUUGUUAGGAGACAGGAGGAGGUUUUUGGCGUGUGAGCUUAACUGAGCGGCUCUCCGAUGAUUUUAUUAAAGCUUUGUUUGAUUGGAGAAUAAAUUUUAGAGAAUAAUUUUUUUUUUUAUUCUCAAAAAUAAAAUGCUUUCAAAAUUCAUCCUUCCUCCUUUCCGCAAUCCUCCUCACCGCCUCCCCCUACCCUCCCCACAAUACUCGAAUCACAUGCCUCGAUCGAUCCCUGCCUAUCUCUACAACCCUGUGGUAAUGCUAUUGUUGUUGUCGUCGUCAAAGUGCGCUUCACAAACUCCUCCAGUCUUGUCCACCUCCACUGCCAACGGUUUGCCAGGGAGAGGGGGGGAAGGGGCGGGGGUUGUUUUGGUUUGUUUGUUGCAGAGUAUUUAAAGGGUGGAGUGGAAAGAAAUAGAGGUUUUUGUUGGAUGUGGCCUACAUGAUUUAUUAAAGACGAUCUAUAAAAAUACAGUCGAUCUAUUUAAAUUAAUUUAUAAAAAUACAGUAGAUCUAACGGUUAGGAUGUAUCUGAACAUGUUCUUCAUAGACAGACGUGAUUUAACAUCUCAUAUCAAGUUACAUAUAAAUGUGUAAAAUAUGGAAGUCCCAGUCUAACUCUAAUCUAAUUUUCUGUAAUGGCUCUAUCUCCGGAGAUAAAAAAAUUAAACUUGAAACUUUCCGCUCUCUUGUAGAUCGUGAACGAGGAUGAACCACGGGUAAAAAUCGCCGGCUACAAAUCAGAUACAGAAAGCAAAAUCAUUUUAGUUUCUAAUAAAAUUUCAAUAUGUGGUAUCAGAGCCACAUCUUUUGUCGAAUUUUUAUUUUUUAAAAAAUUUUAUUUAAUUUUUUUUUUAUUAGGAAAAAUAAUGAUAAUAAUAAUCAUAAAGGUUAGCAGCGAUGUCUACCGACCCCACCGAGCCGGUUUUUGGCGGGAUGGCGCAGCCGCGCGCCAGGCGACCCAUAAGGGGCCGCAUUAUUCAGCGCCCUUUGUGGUGCUGCGGGAGACAUCCCCAAGGUGGCAUAAUGCCAUUGAGGUGCUGACACGUGACAACCCAAUGGGUUGCCGUUAGAGUGCCCUAAGAAGGAGGAAUUCUACGCUGCCACACUUACACAACGUCAUCAAUAACAAGCCAAUCAUAUUUUUUUUUUUAAAUAAAAAUACAAUAAAAUAAUUUUUUUAUAAUUAUGAUGGGACAUAUAUCUCAAAGAGGAGAUAUUUGAUUGGCUUGUUGCCACGUCACCAAUAUGCCCCUCGCAUUUUAGAAUUUUUUCCUAAGGAGAGCACGCUUAGUCGGGGCAAGCGGGCAAAGACAACUAAAAAAAAAUUGUUAUUAUUAUUAUGAUUUAAGAAAAGAAUAUAUAAUAUUUAAUAUAUUAAUAAGAGACGAGAAGAGAGAGAGACGACGAAUGCAGAGAGAGAGGAAGAGAGAUUCACGCCCGGGUCCCCUUUGUUAAAAACAUCAGUGAAAACCGUCUGAAAUUUUUUUUUGAAAAGCCUGACCCAAUAUCCAAUCACAACACAGGGAAUCCACUGUUCGCUACACAGAAGUCUCCUGUAAUUUCAACGCGUCACACAAGUACAAAAAGUAACCCAGUACAACAACAACUAAAUGAACAUACAAAUAAAACAAUUAUAUAUCAUACACCAUUCACGACACCAAGGUCACAUUUAAUACUCGAUAUUUUAAACAAUAUAUCCACAUCUAUCAUAAAAUUUUCAAACCAACAGAAACAUUUUAAAACUAAAGCAAAAUCAACAAAAACCUUUUGAAAACUGUUCCUACAACUAAACCUUAUUCUUUAAAAAUCUUACACCAGGGGUAUAAAACCUUUAAUUCACGAAAAUCCAGAAAAUCCAUUUACAUCAACGAAAAAUUCAUAUUUCAAAAUUUAAUAAAAUACUGAACCUGUAAACCUAAACAAUCUACUAUAACAACGAAUACAAAGGUAUACUAAUCCGAAUUAACCUGCGGAAGCCUAUCGCCGCGUACACACUUACCUCACGUCUGCGUCCCAACUACUCAACGGCCCGCGAUACUCUGAAAAAUGUGGCGAGUAGAAACAUUAAACUUCUCCCCUCCCAUGUGUACCUUGCAAGCCGAAAAGGGAGAGUACUCACCGCAUCAAAAAACUAUAAACAACAUGUCAGUGGAAUAAACAAAGUAAUGAGCAGAUAUAAACAUCGAAAACUGAAAGGAAUGAUAAACUAUACGAAUAACACUCGCUAACCUGCUACUGUAAUAUACAGAAAGCAUACAUGAUGUCUACUAUAAUAGCAAGACAACUAACAAUUAAAACUAUAAAAGUAUGCAUCAAUGACUGCUGCUCAUAAGAAUGAUGCUCAACCGGCUCAAAGAAUCCAAAAGUACCCAAUCUAAAACCAAAAUGCAUCUCAUGGUCAGCACCUGGCAACCUCAAGCCAAUGUCCGGAGGUCCACACCGCAACACCUCCCACAGACCACUGCCAGCUCUAACAUGCAUAUAACCCUCUCUAGCGCUCAACGUUCACAAUUCAACCACUUUUCGCAGAAAAAAACAUCCUUGGGGAUCAGAACCCCAGUGUUCGUGAAUGCAACCAGUGCAGCGAUCAAUGCAAUAGCUUCAAUGACAACCGUCGCAAUCACCAGCCGACAACCUGGCCCCCCAGGGCUAUACGACCACUAUAGUCAUCAUGGUAAAACAUCACAAUAACGACACUCAGGCACUAAUGGAACAACUCACACCCUACCAAAAAUAUGAAGAUAACUCGAUCAAAUAGGUAAACACUGUAUUAUAUGCAAGAAUCGAUCAAUCAAGUCAUCCUGAUAACUAAUCUAAACUACUGCGCCAAUACCGACAAUCUACUCCCUCAGGUCCCGACCCAAAGUCAUGGCACACAAAAGUCAAGACACCGAAUAAUCACAAUUAUGGAUACUAAAUUCGACCCGCUAGUCAACAAAUCUCAUAGAGCCAGGAACCGCUCUACUAUAAACAUGACGCCAAGAUCAUGUAGACACAGGCAAAGAUAGAUAACAAAAAAUAUGUAUAACACUUCUAACUCCACUCAGGAUACUAAUCAUCAAAACAAUGAUAUAGAAGAUUAGACAUGGGCGAUGCCAAUAAGCACACUACGCAAUAGUAAUAACAGGAGAACAGGAUAAAGAUUAUCACCUGAGCGUGCACCACUGACUCUGAUCGUCGGAUCGAAGUACCUACUGUACAAUCUGUCGCCACUGUCUCCUGACGCAAAGAAGUCAACCGACCUAGAGCCACUGGUUAUGUCUAACCCUCAACUAAAAACCUAAAAAGCAUAACCACAAGCAAUCCACGGAAUCGUUUCCCAUACAGAUUACCGUACCAGUUCGAAGUCCCGAGAAUGCACCGGGACUCCGCCCGGACCCAAUAAAUAUCCCGGAAGCACCGACUACAUGCCACAGUCAUUCCCGGCAACUAACACUAAUUUUGUGUGACAUGGCAAGCAAACACAAGGAUACACCAAACAACUAUUGUGGAAUAGUUGGGUAUCCGGGUUCCCGGAAUGUCUAUUCGACAACCGAACCGGGAGUUUUUUCUUAUGGGUUCCGCGUGGUUUGGUUUUUUUCAGUAUGUUUGACCUCGCCAUAUGGCCCGUCAUGUCUGAUUCAUGAAAUCGACGCAGUGACGCACCAAUAAGCUCAGAGACUACAACAAUACUCACAAGCACCGUCGAAUAAUCCGUAACCAAAACCGCGUUUUUCGUACAGAUUUGCGACAAACCAUCGAAAUAACAUUCCGAUCUUCGCAAGGUCCUGCUUUGGACAUCAUCCAGUAAGGUCCCACAACUCAACCCAUGACUGCCACACUACAUCUACUAUAAAUCAAAUUGCAUAAAAGCCCUCCAUUACCCGAAAUCGCAUAUUCCAUGUCGCUUUCGAGCUUUUAGGCACGUCUAUCACAAACAGAGCAUGCAGCCAAACCGAACACCUACUGACAUUCUCGACUGCCCGAGCCCGGCUCACCUUCGCACAAUUUCCGACGCACAGGGAAAGCGCACAGCAUGUAACUUCAGCAAACAGCGCCACGUUAUUAUCGCGUCAAACACCAAACGUCGAACCGUUGACCCCGACGAGUGACACGAUGUCCACGAAGUAAGAUCACGUGCUCACUCCCGGAUAACGAGUGUCCUCGAUCACCAGAAAGGUGACUGGAAACCCUAAACAACUAUGCUGGAACAUAACUACCUACCUGGAGCUUGGAGACUGAGGCAAGGCGCGGUGGUUCGGUACGCGGGCGAUCUACCGGGAAGGUCGCAGGUCGCAGGUCCGGCAACGGCGGCUCGCGGAAGGCGCCAGGAGGUGCGACGCCCGAGCAUCAACUCCGCCAUGUUCCUUCUCGGUUCAAAGGCUGCGGCGGUGAUCGGCGGCCGAGACCGGUCAGCGAUGUUCGCGCCGGGCAAGAGCGUGUGCUACCAGUCGUGGCGGCGGCUGACCUUGAAUCCGAGCAGGCACGACCUCAAACCGCUACGGUCUGGCGCUGUGCGGAAGCUCGCGCGGCCGCGGGUCGGGAGCCCGGGGGCGCGCGCCACGGAGCAACGGAGGCUGAGGAAUGACGCGCUGCGGGUCUGAUUUGGCGCGCUCGCGGACCGAGAUCCCUCAUUGCUCGGUCUGGACCGCGGCUUGCCGCAAGCGAGGCGCCGCGUGCGAGCGUCGCGCCGGGCCGCGGGGAACUGCCGGGAUUCCAAAGGGUGGCUGCGCGCGGGAGCCUGCGAGUCACCUCGAUGAGCUCGGUCUCAUGCCAGCAGCAGGUCAGCCAUGGCUUGCGGCGGGCUCUGGGUGCGCGUCGCCGAGCUGGUCGCCGGGCUCCAGGGGAACGCCAAGAGGAAGCAACCUCUGGCUCUGCCCCAAAACCCGAGAUAAAGAAGAAAAGAGAGAUCAGGAGAGGAAGGUGGAGGAAAGCACACCCGCUUUUCCGGCGGCCAGGAGUCCGCACGCCGCAUGGUCGCAGCGCAGCACGGUAGGUAAAGCCUGCUGAACUACCUUAGGCAAUACUGGAAGCUAGUCGGCCGAAACAGGUAUUGUCAUAAAACCCAAGACAUAAAUACCAAUGCGCUUGCACAAAUCUUCCGACCUGGUAUUUCCAACCAUCCCUCACAGCACGAGUAAUCGCUGUACGCACCCCACGUUGAUCCAUGAUUCGGUAAUAAAAUGUCGAACUUUGCGAAAUUACCGUUUUGCAUCGCCGACCUCAUCCUCGAUCCAACGUCGAUCUUCCGAGAUCUCUCUCAGAUUUGCCGAACCGAGCACCAGGCGGUCAGCACCAAACGAACAACAAGCUUACCAUUUUGGUUCACCUCGAACGAUCAAGAUUUAGCGACGAAAUCCGCUUCUCUCAAAAGUCCAAAUGACUCAUAAAUACAUAUAAAACAUGUAUUUUUGGAUUUUCUCGAAAUCCGUGCGUCAAACUCAAAAUCCAUCAGCGCCACUAGUUCCAGAACAGCUGAACCGGUCGAAACGAGCUAUUGGACUGAUAUGAACGGAGUCCGAUACGCACCAGAAGCCAACUCUACUCCGUGGCUUCCCCGGAAAACCGGAGUUACUAUUCACUUAAGUGAAAACUAAUAAUCGCGUAACUUCUCCGUUUAAGCUCAUUUUCUCCUGAAACUUGACGAGUGCUUAUGUCAUUAAAUUACACACAUAAACAUCGUCAACAGAGAGUUUAGUUGCACAGUCAAAAAUCUUAGUCCUUACAGAGAGAGAGCGAGAGAGAGCGAGCAGGGCUGCUGUGCUCCUGAGCCGUUUUCAAUGAUGGAAUUUCCGAAUCGACGAUCGGCUCGGCUAGACUUGAUCUAGCGUAUUUGAGGUUUUUAGAAAAUAAUUUUUGCGAUUUUUCGAUAUCAUUUACCUAAUGAUCGGAAGGAUUCAAAAUCAAUAAUUUUUAAUGGUUGAUAUCUACCGUUUUCAAGUUUAACGGUGUAGAAAUAUUCAAAUCAGAUAAAAUUUUGAUACAAAAUUCUUUAUACUAUCUACAACAAGAUCAAUAUUUAUGAUCGAAAAUUUUAGUGCUAUAUCACCACUUUUUAUAGAAUUUUUAUUUUCGGCCAUUAAAAAUUAUUGAUUUUGUAUCAUUUCGAUUGUUAAGUAAAUAAUAUCGAAAAAUCACAAAAAUUAUUUUCUAGAAACUUCAAAUACGCUAGAUCAAGUUUAGCGGAGCCGAUCGUCGAUUCGGAAAUUCUAUCAUCGAAAAUGGCUCAGGAGCACGGAGGCCUCCGUGCUCCCGAAAGCACAGCAGUUCUGCUAUAUAUAUAUAUAUAUANNNNNNNNNNNNNNNNNNNNNNNNNNNNNNNNNNNNNNNNNNNNNNNNNNNNNNNNNNNNNNNNNNNNNNNNNNNNNNNNNNNNNNNNNNNNNNNNNNNNGGAUCGAGCUAGUGGCGAGACGCGGUUGGGAGGCGACGGGAUUGGAGGUUUCGGUGGCGCCCGUGUGGAAGCCGACGCGGGUUUUCGUUGCGGGCGUUUCAUAUUGGGGUAAGCUUUUGGAUUGGCUUAAUUCCUUAGCUUGUAGGUUCUCAGUGUUAGCUCUAAUGAUCGUUAUUAGCAUAUUUGUCAUUUAAUUGGAUUAUUUGGGGGUAAGGUUGCAUGUUAGGCUCAAAAUGCUAAUUUUGAAAUAUGAAGGGUUUGAUCUAUUUGACCCUCUUUAAACCUAAUUAUAGGUCACUGACCGCGUUGGAAGCGACGGUUCGGCGAUUCGUCGCUGCCGGUUGCGCAAAAGUUAUUGGAAAGAAAACGGACGGUUUUUAGAGGUUGUUUCGGGGCUGGGAGGGCCGAGGGGGGCGACGUGUAAAGAAUUCGUGGGGAGAACGGGAUUUGAAGUCGUAAUAGGAUAACCGAAGGACCUUGAUAUUUCGGGGAUGCGCGACGGAGGUCGUUCGGGUGGGGUCGGCGCGUGAAUAAGGGGGCGAGCGGGCGAGCGCGUGCGCGGUGGAGGGGAGGUCGAUUGCUGGAGUGGACGAUGAGCAAUCGGAGCGCUGUAAAAGAGGUGUGGGGGGUUGUCUAUCGAAGCGAAUCGGGAGCUUCGGGUCGAUGGUGCCGCAGUAAAAAUAGUUGAUUCGAGGUAUUUGAUAUAUUAUGGCGUUUCUUAUGCAUUUAUAGGACGUAUGUGAUAGUUAGUUUUUCUGAUUUCCUUGCAUGGCAUGGUCUAGUUGUGUAGGUAUUUAUUAGAUUGACAACUUAAAAUCUAAGAGUGCAUGAUGAUUCAAGGGUGUUGAGACAUGAGAUCCUAGUGGAUGAUAAGAGAAUAAAUGGACUCGGAGCUGGGUGGAUGCAAAAAUAGUGACAUUCGAAUAUGUAUAGUAGAAAACACUGACUGGACGAGUGGCAUUGUAAACAAUGUUAGUAACAACAUACGAGUGGCAGAUUGGAAUUAGUGUAAGGAAGAAUAAAUUUGUGGGCAUUGAGCUAUAGGGGAAUAGGGUGAGGGUUUUCCCUGGGAGUAAUGGCAGUUAUGCAGUGGAGAAUUAGUGUAUUGGGACACCUAUGGCAUCAAAACAGUAGGGAUAGUUGCAAUUCCUAUGUGAGUUGGAUAAUGUGGUUGGGACACUUGACGAUGGAACUGAGGAUAGGGGGGUGAUUUUCGACGUGGUUUUAACCUAGUUGACAGGGGGGUAAUCUCAGUUGUACGACGAGCGGGGGUAGGCUCAUUGGGUGGGAUGAGAGCGGGGGGGUCGCGGUAGCUCGGCGCCACCCAUGUGGACUGGAGUGGUCGGCGCGAGGGGGGGGGGUUGGGGGAUAGCUCGUCUCCUGUGAGCAUUGAGGGGGUAGCUCGUGUUACUAUGAGCUGGGGGGCUUCGGGGGUAGGCAUCUUUACCAUUUGGCGGGGGUUAGCUCAAUUUACCUCGACGAGCGGGUAGCGGGGGGGGUAGCUUUGACCUGUUUGAGCGGGGGGUGGGUAGCGUCUUUUACUGAUGAGGCGGGGUAGCUCCUUUAGCCUCGAGCGGGGUGAGCUCGUUUACCUGGUUGAGCGGGGGGGUACUCGCGUGUACCUAUGUAGCAGGGGGGUGGGGUAGCUCUUUACGCUACGGAGCGGGUAGGCUCUGUGACCUGACGAGCGGGGGCUAUGCUGGUUGACCUGUUGAGAGGCGCGCGGGGGUAGCUCUCUUAUAUGAGCGGGGCGGGGGUAGCUCAGUUUGACCGACUGGAGCGGGGUAGCUCUUGACUGGUAGCGGGGGGGGGGUAGCCUCUGUUACCUUGGAGCGGGGGGGGUAGUGUGACCUAUGAGCGGGGGGUAGCUCUGCCCUAUGAGUUUGGAGGUUAGAGUGGAUGGCGAGCGGAAAGAGCGGGGUAGGCUAAUCCUAGCAUUUGGUUGAUGAGUUUGGGCGGAGGAGCGGGGUAGAUCUUUUACGCUGAGUAUUGUUAGAGGUUGUGAGGGACGGGUGAGCCAAGGGCGGGGGGUAGUCUGGUCAGCCCAUGGGUGGUCGAGGUCUUAGGCGGGUGGUAGCCUAGUGCGAUUGCGGGGGGGUAAUGACGGUGAAGUGGCUAAGUCGGAUUGUGGCUUCAUGACCCUGAUUAGGACUUAUAUGUUAUGGGAUUGCAUGAAACUGUUUCGUAUUUGUUUCAUGUACAGUUCGUUGAGGCGAUAUUUAUCAGUGGAUGAGGUAGGGCUUAUUGUAUGUUAUAUUUCAUGCAAUUGCUUGCUUGAUGGCAAAGUGGAUCAUAGUUGCAGGUUUCAAUAUUCUCGUUCUAUGUCGUCGUGAUUCUAUCUCAGUCUGUGCCAGGCUUAGACUAUGUGGGAAAUCGGCGGGAGUGUCCGGCGGGCGGAGGGGCUGCGAACCCACUGGGAAACUAUAUUUAUAUAGUUGCUCACCGGUGUGGUUUUGGGGUACAGGUACAACAGCGGCCGGGGAGCGGGUACCGAGGGGGGGGGGGGACGGGGCAGCCCAGUAGAUCGCGGUGAAGGGCGUAGCACCCUAGCUAGCUAGUAGAGCGCUUCCUUUGUACUAGAGCACCUCGUAGUGCGGGUUGGUUAUAGAUGCUGAUGUAUUUUUGGAUAUGCUACGGAUCCAUAUAUAUGUGAUUAUGAUUAUGUAAUUGCAUUUUGGGGAGUGUAAGUGUAGACAAGUGUUGAUUAAAGGGUUGAGUAUGAUGUAAAUGUUGAAUGUUCAAAUGGUGGAUGUAAUAGAUAGUUAUAUCUCUCUUUAAUUUCAUCUUGUUUGUAUGACUUGUGAUGCGCUUGCUUUUGUAAUUGUUCGGCACUUGGUAAAAUGUGCCUUGCCUAUUGUUUUGUCAUGUAUUGUUAUUAAGUUGUUUUCCUGGGAACUGUUGUACAUGAUCUGUGUUUAGCCUUGGGCGGACAUGGAGGUGCUUAUCUUCGGCGUCUGUUCGACGCGCCGGAUCGAACAAAUUAUAGCGUGUCUCGGGGGACGUGACAGAGAUGACAUGAGUGUGGAUGGAAUUUAGUAAAAGUGCAUUGGCUAUGCAUAUGGAAACUUGUAAAAGAAACAUAAGACACUAUGAGUCUAGUGGUAUAUUAAACUUAUGGAUAUAUGAUGGAUGAUACCCUAGAAGGAAUAGGGUAUCUGGAGCGAGAUUGGAUCAAUGUCACGGUCUGUUUUUUUAAAUCUUUGUGAUGCGGAAGCCCGCACACAAGUAGUGCGCUCGGACAGAUAUUCACGUGGGACUUGUUCCGAUUUGGGCCAAGGGAUUGCCUAUUUUAAGGGCCCGCCCAGACGGUUUCUCGGGUGCAGUACGUGCGAGUUGAUCUCUCCUAGUGUCGAAUGGCUAGUGGAGCUGUAGGCGAGCCUUCGGGUAAGCCAUGAGAUGAUGAAUAAAUGAGGUUAGAAUGAACGAUGUGAAUAGCCUUACCUAGUUGGACAUGAUAACAGGUUAGUUGCUUACUUAUUUCAUUGUACAUGCAUUCAUAUAUUAUGAUUGGGAUAGUAGAGUAGCUUUAUCUGUAUUUACGCUUUCCUUAUCUAAUUAUCUUAUGGUUUUUUACUUGUGCCGACGUGGGACUAGUGGAGAGAUCGGCGGAGUCGGCGGUCCGAAACCACUGCGGAACUAAAGGAAAGUUAGUUUCUCACCUCCAUUUUACUUCAGCGAGCGUGCGAGUUCACACGGCGAGGAUCCGGUAAGGGGCCUAGCGCCCUUAAGUUUGCAGUAGUUUAUUCCUAUGCGGCCACUUAGAGUCACCUUUAUUGCAUUGGGAGCAGUAGAAUGAUGUGAUAGGUGUGAGCUAUUCGGGGUAAAGUAAGUAUGUUUAGAUUUGAGAUGUAGCUUUAUAUUAUUAGAAGCGUUAAUGUAUAAUCAAAUUUGUAUUAUAAAGGCUGAAUGAAGUGUAAUAGAUAGAUGUUCUCUUUUAUCUAUACUUUUUAUUGCAGAUACUGUAUCUUGCUCUCGGUAUGCUUGCACUGAUUGUGCUCUCGGUUGCAGUUAUCGAUUGUGUAUGUAUUCAAGUUAUUUUCUUGGCGACUUGUGGUACACAUCUCGUUGUUAGCUUGGGGGACAGGGAGGUGCGGUCCGUCGGCGUAUGUCGACGCGCCGGCCGAGCCAAAUGGUAGCGGUCGCGUGGGCGUGACACCCGCUCACUUUCAUUUAUUACAUUGCCCCGCGGGGGCAUGUUUUGUAUAUGGGAACGGUCCCUGGAUUGGGGACCAGUCCCGUAGGGUCCAGAAUUCAGCCUCUUAAGGAACUUGCAAUUUUCAGGCUUUUUCACGUUUUUCUCCGUUUUUUCGCUGUUUUGACCUGAUCCGAUUCUUUUCAAUCGAACCGAGGACUCUCCCAAACAUGUUCGGAGGUAGUUUUCAUCAUCUUUUAUCCCCUCUAAUGCCGGAUUGGCUCACGCCCACAUGGCCUUUCGGCUCCGUUUUAGCGCCUCUGCGUAUCCGAAAACGCUCGAUGCUUCGCGACUCCCGGGGACCUCACCGAAACGUUCAAUGGUUUCCCAACCAAAUGUACACCGUAACCUCAUAGUUUUAGAAGUCCGGUACCUUACAUCCUCCCCUCCUUAAUAAGAAUUUCGUACGCAUAGGGUUCCAAUUCAUACCUCAACUCGACGUAUCGAGCAACAUAGGGUUCCAAUGCACUUUCAUGCUCCGGAGUAGCCUUUUACUCAUUGGAAUCAUCCAAAGGCCCACGACGGAGGAUGUGAGACUAGAUUUACUCACUUUUGCUAAGCGUAGCUCCGAAAGUGCAUUACGAGUCUCUGUCAUUUUUGGUGGUAGCGCAAGUCGAAGCUCAACGACUCUACGCGCUCCAACACCAUUCACCACUACGCGUGCAAGAGCUCUUUUUUGCAUCUACUUUCGCUCUCAAGGCAUUGCGAUUCGAUCACCAACAUUGCUUAGAAGCAAUAUCAUUGGUGCAUCAACUAAUGACGAGUGCUCCAACUACACCUGGAUCUUUGCUCUAUCGCGAGAUGGCCUACCCCGGCAUAUCUCGAUUCUUAAUCCACAAGAGAGCAUUGUCUACAAUUCCGUGUGGCUAUCCGGUAUUCCAGUGUCUCCAAGUGACCACUUUUCCUUACCUCUCAAUUGCCACUUCUAACCUCAAAUCGCUCUACUACGAGAUGGCCUACCCCGGCACACCUCUCAAACCUCAAUCCAUGAAAGAGCGUUAUUUUCAAGUUCUCCAACUCUUCCAAUAUGACCCAGCCUGCCUGGGCAAUUUUUUUUUUUUUUUUAUGUGCAGAGAGACCAGUCCUCCAGAUGCGGGACCGGUCCCCGAGAGCCUUUAGCCCGAACGCACCUACGGGAAUCGGUCUGCCCUUAGAGGAUCGGUCCCCUGGAGACCGGUCCGUCCACCAGAGACCGGUCCCCGAGAGCUUGCUCUCGCAGGACUAAGCCAAUUUUCUCCUCUCGCUGGUUACGCGUACGGGGACCGGUCCCUCUGGCCCGGGGACCGGUCGCAUCACGCGACCCCGCAACCACCAGCUAUGGGGACCGGUCCUUCCCUGCCAGGGACCGGUCCUCGAGAGCAAAUCUGCCAAGUGCAGACUUUUGUACACUUGCUCUCGCGGAUCCGUUGCAAUGCACUUUUGGUGCAUUUAACUUCUUCGGCUUUUCCAAAGCACUCCCCCUCGACAAUUGGUCGAUUUUGAGCGAAGUCCAACUCUCGUAUUUCGAGAAUUCACUUCCUUACACCAACCCUCACGUGGCUAUUUCUUAUUCAAGUGUCUCCUAGAGAACACUUUACCUUUCUCUUUAUUCUUUACUACCACAAGCCACGUUCAACAUCACAUGAACCCUCCGUUCGUGAAUCCAAGCCCAACUCACUAACAGAGUUGCUGGCCGCACCGAUCAUCGGUUUUCACAGGCGGACCAACAGUCACAAAUACUACAUAGGCCUAGCGCCUAAACCUGUCGCAACUACGCAUAGCGUCUCUCGCUCGGAUCGUAGACCCAAUCAUCAUUGGGCGAAAUUCUCAUUAGAAAAUUCGCACGCACUCCGAACAGGAGCAACCAUGACUCCAAACCACGUCAAGUCCUCGAGUUGGGUCAUAAUCAAACUCUGGGUAUCUCAUCGAUCUCGGGAUCCAAUACGUGGCAUUCCACACUCCCGGGUCUGAGCUCGGACUACCGUCCUGGCCAAAACUGUAAGAAAGUGAAUUCUCAAAAUACGAGAAUUGUACUUCAUCCAGGAUCGACUAAUUGUCGAAAGUAUACCCUUUGUGGGAGUUGAGAAUGUCCCAAACACAAAAAGUGCUUUGGAGUUGAGUCCGCGAGAGCAAACGAUGCAAACUGCAUCGUUGGGCUAAGAUUACUCUCGGGGACCGGUCUCUGGAGGUGAGAGACCGGUUCCCCUGGCUGGGUGUAGCGGGGUUGCGUGAUGCAACCGGUCCCUGGCAGGGAGGGACCGGUUCCCGAACGUGGUCCCAGCGAGAAGUGCCAAAAUUGGCUAAGUCCUGAAAAUCGAGCUCUCGGGGACCGGUCUCUCAGGCGAAGACCGGUCUCCCGAGGACCGGUCUCCCGGGGAGAGACCGGUUCCCGAACGCGUGCGCCCGAGGGAAGCUCUCGGGGACCGGUCCCAAGUCGGGGAGACCGGUCCCUCCGCGCGAAAACUGCCCAGUGAGGGCAGUGCACAGGAGUGAAAGUUGAGGGGCUUUUAUGCAAAAUGGCUUUUAUUUGAGUGGGCUGAGCCCUCUCUCUCCCUCACACUCUCUCAUUUCACUCUCUCUCACUCUCAUUUCUCUCUUGCUCUCUCUCUCUCUAGAAAGGAAAGAAGGAGAAGAAGAACAAGAAGGAGAGGAAGGAAAAGAAGAGGAAGAUAAGGAAGGAGAAGAAGAAGGAGAUCAAGAGGAAGGCUUUGAGCACCUCCAUCUCCCUCUCCUCUUCCCAUUGGUGUAGCUCUUGAGGUAAGCUACUAAACCCUAGCUUCUAGAACUUAGGGUUUUUGGGUUUUAUGCCUUGGAAUGGGUCAAAUGGACCCUAAGCAAGCUUCUAAAUAGAUCAAUCCCAAGAAUCUAGGGAUUUAUGGGGUGGUUUGCUAUAGGUGCAAAUCUAGGGUUCCAAAAUGGGGUUUUUGUAAAAGUAUGAGAUUGAUCUCAUUUGAAGCCUUGGAAACCCUAUUGAUAGGUCCCAAAACGCGGGGGCGAAGUCGAUUUUGGCAUUCGGCGAACCGACGUGAAGUUCUCGGCAAAAUCGGGCCGGGCUAGUGUUGAUUCGGGCGAGGAAGGCUAAAGCCUUUUCGUAGAGCUCGCCGAGAAGGAUUUUCCAAGCCUCUACAUCGAUUAAAGGUGGGGGGUGUCAUCCGAAACUUUCGAACUCCUUUCUAUGUCUUAGAUUGCAUUUAAUCUCAUCUCUUCAUGUUGCAUUGUAGGAUUGCAUAGUAGCUCCAUUCCUUAUGCUUUCUAAUUGAUAACCUAGUGUACUUGGAACGCUUGGUAACUUAGAUAGGUGAGGAUUGGGUCGAGACGUGAAUCCUAUGGUGCGAAAGAAAAGAGAUGAACCCGAUGGGGGUAUUGAUGACAUAGAAAGUAGUGUUAUUGUUAAAGAACAAACGAGUGGCAUCCAAACAUUGAAUGAUAACGAGUGGCAUUAAUGUAGUGUAAAUAACACUAGAGGUCGAUGGACCUAGGGAUAGGUGGAUCCCUUAGAAAAUGCCUUGUGAACAAUGAAUUUAGAAAACUAAAUAGCAUUGCAUGAAUGUCGGGAACCGAUGAUUCCGCGAUAGUCGUUGACCCUAGUGUAGGGCGUCCUCACUUGGAGAGGAUUCGAUUGGGUUAUUGACUCUAGUUGUAGAGCCUCCUCACUUGGAGAGGAUUGGAUUGGGUGUUGACCCUAGUUACAGUGUAUCCUCACAUGGAGAGGAUAGAUCUAGCUCACAGUCUGCGUUUAGGGUGGCAUAGCCAUCCAAUCCCCACAUGGAGGGGAUUGUCGUCGAGUACUCCGGAGUGUCGCGCGACUAGGACCACUUGGAGGUCCGGACCACAUGGAGGUCCGCAGACGGUCCCGGGUUUGGGUGCACUUGGAGCCCCCUCCCCACUUUGGUAUUGAAAGGUGAGUCAUGGGCGAGCCCUAGGGCCUCGCCACAAAUUGGGUAAAUGGAAAGGUUAUUAAUGUCAUUGAACAUUGCUAUUCGAACAUGGAUCGAAUUUGUUAGCAUGGUAGCAAACCUUUAUUAUAUGAUGCAUGCAUUCAUAUUUAUGAUUAUGGGCAUAGUAGCAUAGUUUUCCUACGACCGCAUUACAGCUUUCAGAUACAUAUCUAUCUAUCUAUCUAUCUAUCUAUCCGUUGUUACUUGUGCCCACUUGGACCUAGUGGGGAGAUCGGCAGAGUCGGCGGCCGAGCCCACUGGGAACUAUGGAAGAUAGUUCUCACCCCACUCUAUUUCCAGUGGUAGGUUCAGGGCUGCAGAGAGAGGACCGCGGCAAGGGCGUCGCGCCCGACCAGUGAGACCGUGGUAGUAUAGUAGCUUUCCCUUUUGCAUUAGUCACCUAUGUAUAAAGAGAGAUUUAUUGUAGGUGAGGAUUUGGAGAGCUAUAUAUUUUGGAUGAAAAAUGAUGUAAAGAAUGCAACUAUUGUAAUAGUUAGUAAAGUACUCUCUUUAUUUCACUCGUAUAUCUUGUGGAUUACCUGCUCUUCUUGUUGUUGGCACUGUUUGUGCCCUCGUUGAAUGUGUAUGUUUAGAAUUUAAAGUCCUGGGUAAAUUCUUGUACACAUUCCUGUCGUUGAGCCUUGGGCGGACAAGGGAGGUGCUGUCCGUUCGGCGGUCCAUCGCCGCGGCCGAAUCGUGCCAAAUUGGUAGUGGUUUCCGGGCGGGGCGUGACAAAAACCCUGCCCUACCCGUAGGCACCGGGCCGCUAUCACUCACAGCUAACUGCGCCUGCCCAAAGGGCCCAAGCUCCACAAAUGGUCCAGGCACGGAUCGUCCCCAAGUGAUACCCACCGUCGUCGUCCUACACGACAUACUCUAUCGAGCUAUAAGUACCAUUAUCGGCUCCUAAGCACCUAGUGCGAGCCGCCAGCCUUACGAGUUCCAUGGCUCGCUUCACACUUAGCAAUGCUGAAGUGCUACUGCCAUCACACUCUCUCGGCUGAAUCAAAUCCGCACUCUACCAGUGUCUACACUCGAGCGCUCUAUACGCCAUACUCUAAGUCCAGCAUUAGGCAACCUUGCCUAUGCACACCGGCCACACGGGCACGAUUCGCCCACCUCAAUUCGAGGCACUACUAGGCCCACGUGCCUAUACUUGGCCAAUAACUGAUCGCUCUACCACGAGUCUCACUUUUCGUCCAACAAUCAUCACCAACAUUUUGCUAGUGCUAUCUAGCUCUCUACCUGCUCCAGCAGGCGCCACACUCUCACCACAUAAGUAUGCUCGGGUAUCUACACCAACCCGUUCACUUGGUCCCUACUAUACCAAUGCACAAAUAGUAGCGAACGACUACAAGGUAAAUGCAUGCAAGUUCCUAAGUCUACAUCAUGCAGAAGCGUAUGAUUGCUUUAAUUAACUCAUACCUGGCACAAUGUCACGCUCCUCGACCCCAGCAGGUCGCUCCACUUGAGCGGCAAACACUCGACUACUCGGAGCCGACCGGGUCACCUCAAGCUGAUGCGGCGCCAUCGCACGUCUCGUGGAUACGGCAGCAGGCGGAACUCCACCAAACUGCCUCGGAGCCGCCGGGGCGGAUGCUGCAGUCGGGGCAGGCGACAAUCCCUUUGGGCACUGACGGCUAAUAUGCCCCGCCUGACCACACCUGAAGCACCGUCCAGCCUUAUGCUCACAGUUUCCUGCGCGAUGCUCCCCACCGCAGAUCACACAUCGCAGGGGUCCCUGGCUCUCGAACUGCCUACUCGGGUACUUCGGGGGCUUCUUGGAACUCGACUGUGCCCCCGAGCUACCGCCAGGUCGUUUCUUUCUCUUGUCCUUCUCGGACGCCUCGCGCUCCUCUCGCACGUGGGCAUCACCAUGCUCUGCCCACAGCGCCUUAUUGAAAACCUCGGCAAAAGUCGUGAGCUGGAAUAAUUGCACUGCCCGAUAUAUCCAUGGCCGAAGUCCCUGCAAGAACCAUUCGGCCCUGUCCCCGUCAUCCUUGACCACGUUUGGGACACAGUCUAUGAUAUGGGAGAGCUCCUGCUCGUAGUCCGCUACGGAACGAUCCCCCUGUCUCAGUUUGCGGAACUUCUCCUUUAACUUCCGCUUCUCGGUGUCGGGGAAGUAAUUUCCAAAUAUUUCCCUCUUGAACUCCUCCCAUAACAUAGGUAGAAGGUCAGAAGGCCGAUCUCGCUUCACCCGCUUCGACCACACCUUCGCCGCUUUCCCAAGGCAAUGGGUGGCGAGAUACACCUUGUCUUUCUCCGAGGUAUAGAGAUCCUCAAAAAGUGUCUCCAUUGAGUCAAUCCAUGACUCCACCAUCGACGGCUCCACUUUCUCCCCUUCAAAGAUUGGUGGGUCGAACUUCUUGAAUCUGAUAAGAGCCGUCAACGAACGCUCUCGCUCUAUCUCCUCGGCCACCGCAUCGGGUAUUGCCGGACCCGAAGCCGCCGGAGGAACACUUGCUGGCGGGGGAUGCGCCGCCGCCGGAGCUGCCGCAAUGCCCACACCCUCAGCCGCAUUAGGCGCGCGAGCCGAGGGCACGGGGGGACCACGGCCUUCAACUGUCGUCGCGGCCGCCGCCGCCACCUGCUGCUCCAAAAGUUCCUGGAGCCGCUCGACCUGGCUGGUUAGAGCGGUAACUUGCGCUCGUAACUCCUGCACCUCACUAGACCCAGCUUGCUCUGGCAGCUCAGGAGGCGGUGCCGGAACGGGUCUACGUGCGUAGCGUCUCGGGGACAUCAGCUCCUGAAACGCAAACAUUUGGUUAAUCAUCUUAACCCGCUAACUUCGCCACAAUUGCGAAACAACGCGACUCAAUAGCACAAAUCAGGCGGAAGCACACAAGUGUACUUGUUCUAAACCCUUAGCGUUGUGUUGUCGGCCGCCCAACACAACCACUUCAAGCCAAGAACUCAUACCACUUGAAUCCAUCUCUAACACCCAUUAGAGACAUACUAUCAAAUUCAACCCAAUCGAUCAACUUCCGCCACCCACAUAGGUUCACGUCUCACUCACGCGCCUAUAGCCCUAAGGUUUACCAUCCUAGGGUCUCCUAGGUCCAUUCUAGACUCUCUCUUUGCUUGCUCUUAACUCGCUCUGAUACCAUUUUAUCUGUCACGCCCCGAGACCGCUACCAAUUUGGUCCGAUCCGGGCGCGUCGAACAGACGCCGGACGGACAGCACCUCCUUUGUCCACCCAAGGCUAAACAACAGGAUCAUGUACAACAAGUUCCCAGGAAAUCAACUUGAAUACAUACAUGAUCAAAACAAUAGCGAGGGCACAACCAGUGUCGAACAUUACAAGAGCAAGCAUCACAAGUAUAAACAAGUGAAUAAAAGAGAGAUAUAACUAUCUAUUACAUCACAUUUGACAUUCAACAUUUAAUACAACUUGGUUACAUUUAAGCUUCCAAAAUGAAUACAUAAUCAUAUCACAUAUAUAUAAUGCUAGCUAUCCAAAAUACAUCAUGUCAUCUAUAACCAUGCACACGAGGGUGCUCUAGUACAAUAGGAAAGCUCUACUAGCUAGCUAGGGCGCUACGCCCUUACCGCGAUCACCUGCCGGUCCGCUCACGUGUGUACCUGUACCCCAAAACCACACGGGGUGAGAACUAUAAAAAUAUAGUUCCCAGUGGGUUCGGCCGCCGACUCCGCCGAUCUUCCCACUAGGUCUAAGCUGGCACAGAUAGAUAGAUAGAUAGAUAGAUAGAUAGAUAGAUAUUGAACUGCAACUAUGAUCUAUUGUGCCAUCAAAUGCAAGCAAUGCAUGAAGUGUCAACUAGCAAUAAGCCUACUAUCAUGAUAAUAUGCUUCAACGAUGUAAUGAAUACAAAUACGACACAGUUAUGCAAUCCACUAACAUACGCUAUGUCUAAUCAGGGUAUGAAUGCAAAUCUACUUAUGCUAUUCAUGUCAUUUCCCAAUCCACUAGGCUACCCCGCCUAAGAUAUCAAAUCUCAUAGGUACUCACACCACAAUCUAGUAGGUGAAGAGGUGAAGAGCUACCCCGCUCUUCGCCCUGACUGAUUAUCUCAAAUCUCAUAGGUGAGGAGCUACCCUGCUCUUAUCUCACCCGUCUCACAUCUCAAAGGUCAUAGAUGAAGAGCUACCCAACUCUAAUCUCAUAGAUAUUGAGCUGCCCCGCUCAAUCUCAUAGGGGAAAGGCUACCCCGCCCUUCGCCCCAACUCACGUCCCAGUCCAAUGGGUGAGGAGCUACCCCGCUCGUAUCCCACCCGAUGAGCUACCCCGCUCGUGAGCUAUCCCGCUCGUGUGACAACUCUGGCAAUGGGUGAGGAGCUACCCCGCUCGUAUCCUACCCGGUGAGCUACCUUGCUCGUGAGCUACCCCGCUCGUGUGACAACUCCGGAGUGCACUGCUUGUGGGGAGCGACCGCCACAAGCCCAAAACAGACUAUGUGAGUAUGAUCCAAUCCUCGCCAACUGAGGAUACCCUGUCAACUAGGUUAACCAUCACUUGAUAAUCCACCUAUCCCUAGGUCCAUGUCAAGUGUCUCAACCACACUAAAUCUCGAUGUCACUUACCUAGGUCUAAUCAACUCUAGGUUCCACAACACUAGGUUUAAUGUCAACCUAUGUUUAACAACAUUAUGUUAAUGCCACUCGAUCUAUCCUAGGUUCACGACACUAGGUUUAGAUGCCACAUGCCUCAUAAUCUCCAAACUUUAACAAUAGGUUAACAUUCAUUUUCAUCUAGCAUAUAUGUCCUAUAAAGCCAACAUGCAUCAUACAUCUAGUAUACAUCUUCAUAAUGCUAAUAUGCCAUUAUCAACUAGCAUGCAAUCCAUUCAUAAUGCUACAUGCAUACAAUUUCCAUUACACUAGUUCACAUGUCACUAGUUUCAUUAUCAAGUCCAAGUUCUUUAUUUUCUUUUCAUUAUAGGAUCUCAUGUCUAAACCUUAGUCCUCAUGCAUUCUAGAUUUAGGUGUCAAGUACAUAAUACUACACAACUAGACAUGCAUUCAAGGAAAGUAGAAAUAUAAUAAUACAUACAUCCUAUAGUGCGUAAGAAACAUAUGUGCAAUAUGGCCAAAGAUCUAACUCGGACAUAGAAGGAAGCCCGAUUGCUUCGGAUAGACACCCCCCACCUUUAGGUGAUGCCACGAGCCCACGAUUCCGAUUUCGCGAUUUUAGGAAGCUUUCGCCGCGAGCUGCGGCAAUCUGUACCUCAACAAGCCUUUUCUUCAAUAUCUUUGCACCCGCUCGACGAAUCGACGAACCGACUUCGCCAACGCGUCGGAAUACCUAGCAAUUAGGUUUACAGAGGGUCAAAUGAGAUCAAACUCCUAUAUUUACAAAAAUCCCAUUUUGGAGCCCUAGGUUCCAACUAAGUAAAAAUCCACCAUUUGAACUCUAGAUUCAAGCAUUAAACAUCUAUUAAGCUUGCUAGAAUUGCAUCUAAACCAUCCUUAGGGUGCAUAAACCAAACCCUAAGAAGUUACCAUUAGAGCCCUAGAAGCUUACCUCUCUAGGUUUGCUCCAAGGUUGAGAGGAAGAAGAAGAUGAUGAUGGUGGUGGUGAUUCUCUUCUCCUCCUUCUUCCUUCUCUUUCCUUUCUUCUCUUCUUUUCCCUUUCUUCUUUUUUCUCCUCUUCUUCUUCUUCACGUUAAGAGAGAGAGAGAGGUGGUGUUGGAGUGAGGGAAAUGAGAGAAAGAGAGAAAGAACCCUCUCUAUACACUCUCAUAAUGCCCAAAAUGCAAUUAGGCCUUCAAAUAAAAUUAUUACAUUGCCCCCGCGGGCCAUUUUGUAUAGGGGACCGGUCCGUGGACUUUGGGUGACCGUCUCGCGAGGUCUCAGAUUCCAGCCUUUAAGGACUUUAGCCAAAUUUUCAGCUUUUCACCGUUUCUUCUCCGUUUUCGGCGAUUCGUUUGACCUCUGAUUCUUUAAAUCGGAACCGGACUCUCCAAACAUGUUUUCGGAGCGUACUUUUCCAUUUAUCUCUUCAUAUUCGCUAUGCGGGGAUUUGCCAUACAGCCCACAAUGCCUUUCUGGUCUCCGUUUUUAGUGCCUACGCGUACUAAAACGUCCCGAAUGCUUCUGACCCACCGGGACUCACACCGAAAUCGUCAAAUGUCUUCGCAACCAAAUGUAGCACGUGAACCAUCAAUAGUUUUGAAGUUCGGUACGUUACAUAUAUAGAGUAGGGUCUUUAUGUGCUAUAGAGGCAUGAGGCCUCCGUUCCUAAUAGCACAGAAGAACCUACUAUAUAUAUAUAUAUAUAAUAUACAUUAUAUAUAUGGUAUAUAUAUAUAUAUAUUAAUAUAUAUUAUAUAUACUAUAUAUAUAUAUAUCACGCCCCGACCGCUACCAUUUGUCGAUUCGGAGCGCUUCGAACAUGACCCGAACGACAAGCACUCUCCUGUCCGCGCAGUCCAAAAACACAGAUCUAUCGUACAGAUUAAGCGCCCAGCGGAAUGCUAAUUACAGUACAUGAUCGAUACGAUACCACAAGUGCAGCAAUAGCUAAGGCAAGAAAACCACGAGUGAAAUACAAGGUGUAUAAAGGCAGUAAUCUAGCUAAUUCAACCAUUCAACAUUUACAUCAUUUGAAUAUAUUACAUUUCUAUCUUCCACAUGUAAGUUACAUGUCUCAAAAAUACAUCAUGGCUUCCCAUAUCCUAUCCAAAAACAGCUAGACACGAGGGUACUCUAAUGCAUAAGGAAGCUAUAACGGUGCGUAUAUCUAGCUCACUGUAGGGUGCUAUGCCUUGCGGAUCCUCGCCCGCUCGCCUCUGUGUGUAACCUGUACCCCAAAUACCAAACGGGGUGAGAAAUUAUAUAAAUAUAGUUUCCCAGUGGUUCGGCGCAGACGAGAGCCGCGGUUUUCCCACUAGUCUAAGCGGCACAGAUAGAGCGAAAUAGUAUAGAUUAUAUAGAACCGAACUGCAAGUAAUCUUAUCAUUGGCCAUCAAUGAUAAUUAAUUGUAUGCAACAACUACUAUCCAUGCUAGUAGCAUGUCAUCCGAGUAUAAUAAAGUGCAUAGCAUGUAAUCUACAACAUACCUAUGUCUAACUCAAAGGUAAUAAUGCUAAGUUACCUAUGCAUGUUCAUGUUUAUACCAUCUACUUGGUUGACCAGCCGAUAGGUUAACCCUCGCUGGACACUCUCAAUCUAAUAGGUGAGGAGAAGCUCGCGCUCGCACACCGAGACCAGUCUGCGGGACACUACAUUCUGCCGCUAGUGAGUACUUCCGAGACUCGUGCUUCGAUGGAGCGACCACCGACAGCAAAAGCAGACUAGUGAGUAUAUCAAUCCUCUCAAGAGGAUACGCUGUUACUAGGGUCAAUGUGCCUCUGCUGCAAACAGUCAUGAUAUAUAAAUCAAUGUGGGACUCUACUUAUCCCUAGGUUUCAUGUCAGUUUACUACACUAGACUCAAAUCAAGCGUUCGAUCAUUGUAGUAAGUUUCUACUAGUUGACCAUGUCCACCGUUCAAGGUUUGUGUCUCUACUACACUAUUCAAUACCACUCUACAGCUGAUGUCCAAGUUCGGCUUCUUAUCCGGUAUAGGAUUCUAUCCAUAAGACCCAAUCCCUCAUGCUACGUAAUCCUAGGUGUUCAAAUCGAUAAGUAAACUACUUAAGAAGCAUGCAAGAAAUAAGGCAAUAUACAUUUAUUAAUCCUAGUAAUGCAAUUGAUGAUCAACAAUAUGUAUUAGACUAAAAAGAAACGUCCGAUGUUCCCGGACGACACCCACCCCCCACCUCAUUGAGGGUAUGAAGGCUCUAGAAAUGUGGGCCUCCGUCUUUACGACGAAGCCCUCGGUCUCUUGUCCAAAGCGAUGCUCACCGGUCCUUAUUUGCCGAUGCUCUUGACUCGCUCGACGAAUCGAAUUUCCGACUUCGCCCACCGCGGUUUCGUUACCCCUCAAUUAGGUUAAAGGCUCAAAUGAGAUCAAUCCAUACUUUACCGAACCGUGCUCGUUCUAUUGUUGGUGCCGCUAGGGUUAGCAUGGAUCAAAAGCUAAACCAUCUCAAAAGCCUAGAUUCUAGCUCUAUUCCUUCCAUUUCAUGGUGUUAGGGAUCCAUCAUUGAUCGCAUCCAAAGAGCAAACCCAAAAAACGCCCAAUCUCGCAAGCUAGGGUUAUAAGCUUUACCUCUAGGUUAGCUGUAAAAGAAGAGAAAAGGAUGUGAGGGAGACGUCUCAAGCUUCCUUUUGAUUGAUCUUACCUCUUCUUCUUCUCCUUCAUUUUCUUCCUUCUUUUCCUUCUCGCUUUCUUCUCUUCUCUUUCUACCUUCUCUUUAUCUUCUAAGAGAAGAGAAAGAGGCAAGAGAGAGUGUGAGGGAGAGAGGGAAAUGAGAGCUGAGGGAGAGAGAGGGGUCCCCAUGCCUCAUAUUGUACCAAUAUCCCAAUAUGCCGCCUCACCGUUUACUUUGUGCACUGCCCUUACGUGGGCGUUCUCUGCGCGCGAGGACGGUCUCCCCCGACUUGGGACCGGCCCCGAGAUGCUUCAGCUCGGUCACUGCGUUCGGGUACCGGUCUUUCCCAGAGAGACGGCUCCUCGGAGACGGUUCCCUCCCUAAGAGCCGGUUCCCCGAAAUUGAAUCUCAGGACUUAGCCGCAAUUUUUUGGCUUUCCUCAGUAAAGGAUCGCGUUCGAAGGAAAACGUUCCCCUCCAGGGACCCGGUUGCUCCACAACCCAGCGACAUCAGCUGAUGAGACGGAUUCCUCCUGCCAGGGACCGUCCGGAGAGCCAAUUUGCUCCAGUGCACAGUUUUGGCAAACGUUUAUUGCUUCUCAUGGACUCAUUCCAAUACGACCUUUGGUGAUUUACAUCUUUUGCUUUUCAAAGCUUACCGAACCCCGACCCUUGGUGAUUUCUAACAUGAAGUCAACUCUCGAUUUCGAGAAUUCAUUCCUCACAAUAUAUAUUAUAUAUAUAUUAUAUAUAGUAUAUAUAUAUAUAUAUAUAUAUAGUAAGGCUUAUGUGCUAAUUAGGAGCAUGAGCCUCUGUGCUCCUAAGCCGUUCGAUCAUGGAGCUUGCUGAAUCCGACCGAUCGCUCCGUUAGACUUGAUAUAGCGUAUUUGAAAUCUCUAGAAAAUAAAUUUUCUGAUUUUUCGAUAUCAUUUACCUAGCAGUCGAAAGGGUUCAAAAUCAAUGGUUAAAAAUAAAAAUCUCAAAAAAAAUGGUGAUAUAGCACUAAAAUUUUCGAUCAGAGAUAUUGAUCUUGCUAUAAAUAGCAUAAAAAAUUUCUAUCAAAAUUUUAUCUGAUUUGAAUACUUCUACACCGUUAAACUUGCAAAUGGUAUACAUCAACUAUUAAAAAUUGUUGAUUUUGUACCCUUUUGAUCGUUAGGUAAAUGAUAUCGAAAAAUCGCAAAAUUUAUUUUCUAGAUAUUUCAAAUACGCUAGAUCAAGUCUAACGGAGCCGAUCGUUGAUACGGAAGCUCCAUGAUUGAAACGGCUUAGGAGCAUAGAGGGCUCCGUGCUCCUAAUAGCACACAAAACCAACUAUAUAUAUAUAUAUAUAUUAAACGGGCCGUUUUACUACCGAUUUGUUUUCGAUGAUAGAGCUUCCAAAUUGACAAUCGGCUCCAUUAAAUAUGAUCUAAACCAUUUAAACUACCUAGAAAUCAAAUUUCACGCACUUUCGAUAUUGUUCUUUUAUCCAUCAAGUGAAUAGAAAAAUGAAUGGCUGAAAAUGAAUACUCUUUAAAAAAUGAUGAUAGGAGUCUUGUAAUCAAGAUCAAGAGUAUAGAUCUUGUUAUAAAUAGUUUAAAGAAUUUUCUAACAAAAAUUCAAUUGAUUUGGAUAUCUUUACGCCGUUAAGCGAGAAAACGCCUCUUAUCGACCAUUAAAAUUACAAAUUUUGAAACCCUUUGAUCAUUAGGCAAAUGAUAUUGAAAAGAUUUGAAAUUUGAUUUCUAAACACUUCAAAUGGUAUAGAUCAUGUUCAUAUAUAUAUAUAUAUAUAUAUAUAUCUCAAAACAAUCUUAUGAUAGCCAUCAUUUGCCCGGCAAAAUGAUGGCUAAACAAAAGCUACUAUCUCGAAGGUUUAACUGCUAGCCGAGGCAANNNNNNNNNNNNNNNNNNNNNNNNNNNNNNNNNNNNNNNNNNNNNNNNNNNNNNNNNNNNNNNNNNNNNNNNNNNNNNNNNNNNNNNNNNNNNNNNNNNNNNNNNNNNNNNNNNNNNNNNNNNNNNNNNNNNNNNNNNNNNNNNNNNNNNNNNNNNNNNNNNNNNNNNNNNNNNNNNNNNNNNNNNNNNNNNNNNNNNNNNNNNNNNNNNNNNNNNNNNNNNNNNNNNNNNNNNNNNNNNNNNNNNNNNNNNNNNNNNNNNNNNNNNNNNNNNNNNNNNNNNNNNNNNNNNNNNNNNNNNNNNNNNNNNNNNNNNNNNNNNNNNNNNNNNNNNNNNNNNNNNNNNNNNNNNNNNNNNNNNNNNNNNNNNNNNNNNNNNNNNNNNNNNNNNNNNNNNNNNNNNNNNNNNNNNNNNNNNNNNNNNNNNNNNNNNNNNNNNNNNNNNNNNNNNNNNNACACCUCGUUUAAAAGCGGUGUUUUUCAUGUAUAAAACACUCUAUAGCUUAAAGCUGCUAUAACCGAUUGAAACCGGUUUACCUGGUUUCACCCGCUAACUUGCCAACCCUGUUCAAGGUAAGCCAUAAGGUUGUUCAAACCUUCUCAUUUUUACUAAAGGUUUCCACAACCUUACCAAAACUGUAGCUAGCCGCGCUUCAUCUCGGCUUUGCUUCACUUUUGUCGUAAGACCUCGAGAGCCCAAACUCCGACGGUCCGGAACAUGGCCUUGUUCCCCCGAACAUGCCCAUGUUCGUGACGCGUUGGCUCUUUGGCUCGAGAGCCAAAACCCCCGACGGUCCGGAGCAUGGCCUUGUUCCCCCGAACAUGGCCAUGUUCGUGACGCGUUGGCUCUUUGGCUCGGAGCCCAACCCGACAGACGGUCCGGAACAUGGCCAUGUUCUUAGACACAUGGCCAUGUUCCCUGGGCUUUUACACCUAAACCAACCUUUUAAUCAAAAAACUCCCCUGAAAACCCAAAACAAUGUUAUCUCUUGAAUUUGGGGAGAGAGAGUCGGAGAGUGGGAGAGUGAGAGGAGUCGAGUGAGAGAGAGAUGUGAGAGAAAGAACAGUAUUCUUGUAGUGAUAGUUUGAAUAAGCUAAAAAGUAUAAUUAAUAUUCUUUUAAAUAACAUCAAGCAGAAAAUUAGAAAUGACAUCUUCUCUGCAUCAUUGAUCCAAUAGCCAUCUUCUGUGCAUCAUUGAUGUCAAUAUUCUCGCUGCAUUAUGUAUCUUGAUGUUAAAGAAGGCUGCAGUAAAUGCCAAGAAAAUCAUAAAUUAUUUGGACUUAUAAAAAUUUGUAUGAAAAUUGUUAUUGCUAAAUAAUUUUUACGUGCCUCCUUUUGAUCUCCUCAAGUUCAGCAAUUUGUGGAUUGAUAAGUAUCUUCGUUGCGAAACUUGUUGACAAACAAACCCCUGAAAAAAAAAUAUUGAGUUAUAAUCAAAUAAUAAAUAUAUUAUAAUGUAUUAUUUAAAUAUAUAUAGAAAUGUACCUUUACGGAAAUCUACGUGCAGUGCAGUUGCAACUAUUAUAAGUUUUUUUUGUACUGCAUCUUUCCACAUGCCUAUUCGGGUUGUGACAAGACUAUCCCACAAUGUUAAUCUAACGAACCAACGGCUGCAUAAUUAAAUAAAAAUAAAAUAUUUUUUAGUAAAUAAUAUUUUGAAAUAUAAUACUUUUUUUUUCUCAAAUAUCUUCUAAAAAGUUAAAGAAUAACAUACGAUUUAUUCAUAAUUAUAAUCUCUCUUUUUGGACGAUUGCCAUCGCGUCCUUUUAUAAACUCUGCCUUCUCCACAUGAACUAUCAUUCCUGCAACAUCUAUGACAAAAAAGAAAUUAUUAUUUCAAAUUAAGAUUUUUUAUUAAAAAUACUAAAUAAGAAUAGUGAAUAACAUACCAAUCAGAACUUUAUUGUUGAUGAGUUUACCCAAUUUCUCCAAAGCAACAAAUGAGUAUGCAUAAUUUGGAAAUUUUGCGAAACCUUCUGUAACUUCCUCAACUUUUGUAGCACUUGUGAUUACACAUUCGUAGUCAUUUGCUGUAAUUUUUAGUCCCGCAGUUGUAAGACGUACUCUUAUAUUAAAAAAUGUGUAGAUUUUACCCUCAAAAAUAAUUUUGUCAAGUCUUCCAACGUCAUUCCCGUAUACAAAUCCCUGAAUUUUAUAUCCCUAUAAUGAAAAUAAGAAAUAUAACAAUUAGAAUAUAUGGUUAACAUAUAAUUAAAGAUUAAUAUGAAAUUACGUACAUUUUCAUCAAGAAGUAAAAGUUGAAGCCGUUGUCUUUUUGUUCCAGGAUAUUCGAUAUCACACUUUAAAAGUAGCCUUACUCUUAUGUUGAACUGAUGCCGAUAAGGAUGUAGAAAAUGGAUUGGUGUGUAGUAAACAAUACUCAUCCUGUAAAAAACAAAAAAACAAUAAAAGUAAAAUUAAAAUUUAUAUAAUUAUAUGAAUAUAUGAGCAACAAAAUUUAAUAAUUAAGGUAUUCAAUUCAUUUAAGUGCAAUAAUUACCUUGAUUGGAUGCAAGAACCUCUUUAAAAACAAUAUUUUUUGUAUAGACUCCUUCGUGAUCCAUUUUUUCAUGUGGUUUUACUAAAAUUUUUGUAGUACUGCGCGAUAUCCCUCUAGAUAAAGCUACAUACAACUGACCGUGUGAAAACACUGGUUCCGGAAGAUAUACUCCGACAUUUGGAAUUGUUUGUCCUUGUGCUUUAUUUAUUGUCAUAGCAAAGCUCAAACGUACUGGAAAUUGUUUUCUUUUAAAUCUAAAAGGAAGAUUGUCAUCUUCUGAAGGACAUAAUGGAAUUCUUGGUAAAAAGACCCUUUUUCCACUGUGUUGCCCAUAAGCGAUCUCAGCAUCAAUUGCAUUUUUUUGGAACGCCUUACAAAUCAAUCUUGUUCCAUUACAUAAACCAUUUAUCGGAUCGAUGUUUCGCAAAAGGAUAAUAGGACAAUUAAUUUUAAGUGUAAGCUUAUGAGGUGGUAAACCACUUGGCAUCAGUGAAUUCAAAAAUUCUGUCGGAUAGUGAUUGUGAGUAUCGUCGUCAGCAACAUCAUAACUGUAAUAAACAAAUUCCGAUCCAGGAAAAUUCCGUAUUAAUUCAUUGUUUAUAUCAUCGACGUAUUCAUUCUUAGUUGAAAGUAUAGCUCGGCUUAUAAUAUAAGAAGAUAAAUUGGCAUUUUCUUUAAGAGAUGGGAAUACUGUGUCGAUUAACUCCUUUUUUGAACGCUCAUUAUCCGUAUACUUGAUCACCAUAUCAUUAGGAAGCUGAAUAUAGUCACCACAAAUAGUUUUUUCAACUCCAUCUCCAAUUCUUAAUAGAUACUGUGAAAACCACGGAUCCGACUUUGCUCUCAUAUUUUGAAUCAGUUCGAAUUUUUUUAGCGAAGGCCAAAUAUAAGAUGCCCUUAAACUGGAUUCAAUAAUCUCUGCUUUUGUCCCACGUCUUAUGACAGGAAGGACUUGUCUAAAGUCCCCUCCAAAUACCAUAAUCUUUCCGCCAAAUGGUGAAGUGCAUCCUAUUAUAUCUUGCAAUGUCCGAUCAAGCGCCUCAAAUGCAUGUCUUUUUGUCAUAGAAGCCUCAUCCCAAACAAUUAGUGUUGCUUGGCAUAAAAGCUUCGCAAUUCCACUUUGUUUAGUAAUGUGACAAAUGCUGUCUUCAUUGACUAUUAUUGGAAUUUUAAAUCUUGAGUGUGCUGUUCUACCGCCAGGCAAGAUAGCAGCUGCCACACCUGAUGUUGCUGUCGCGAUAGCAAUAAGCCCUAGUGAUCGUACUUUUGCCAACAAUGCUUUAUAAAGAAAAGUUUUUCCAGUGCCACCAGGUCCAUCUAUAAAAAAUAAUCCACUUUUUGAUUCACGGAUGUGACUCAUAAUUUCUUCAAACGCUAUCAUUUGCUCAGAGUUUAGAGAAUGUUGAGCAUUUAAGUGUUCUUCUUCAACAAUAAUUGACAAUUCGUCAUGCACUUCCCUCACCUCAUCUAUAUAAUAAUCUAUGUCAUCUAAAAUGGGUGGUAGAUCAUACAUGAAAAUCUUCUUUCCCAUUGAUUCCAGAAAGAUUGAAAUAUCACGAAGCACAAGUUGCUCGACUCUAAUAGAAUCUAGAUUACCCUGUCGAAAAUCCUCCGAUAUUGAGUUGAAAUGCAUAGUGUAUAAUGCACGUAUAUUUGAUGGCUCGCAAUACACUAAAAUUGUUGCAAAUAGUCGUCGAAGUCCUUGUGGAAAUUGAAAUGUUGAUGCCUCAGCUAAACAUUCAGAAAUACUAUCAUCAGUAUCUAUAAGUCCACGUUUUUCAGCCGAUUCUCUGAAGGUGUUACAUAUUACACCAUUAACAGUUAAAAGAUCAAUAUAUGAUGUAACUCCUCUAACAUGAUUUAGUAAAAUCCUUAAAUAAUAUCGCUCUCCUUCCACUGGGUUAGCAGCUACUACUCUACCUAUUUCGUACUUCUUCUGUCUUCUUUUCCAAUAUUUUCCAGUGCUACACCACACAUAAUGUUCUGGAAACUCUCGAUAUAAAUAAUUCCUAGCUUCUGGAUCAACUAAAUUCAUUCGAAAGUAUUCGGUCAACAUUGUUUUCGAACUGUUCUCCCUGUCAAUUACUCUUUGCAAAUCAUCAAAAUCUUUAAAUGUCACAAAAUGCAUAUCAGGUAAAUGUAAUUGUAAUGACUUUACGGGAGGAUACAUUUCAUUUAAGUUGAAUUGAUAAAUUCUCCACAUAGCCUCCGGCGGAGAUACCCAACGAACAUCUCGAAAUAAAUGAACCUCAUUAAUUUCAAUGUUACUCGAUGAUCCCUCGACAUUCACUGCUCCCCUGUCAUGACCUUUGUAUAUGUACUUGAAUAGAUACUUAACGGCUUUAAUACUUGAGCAUAUUUCAACAUUAAUAUGACAAUUGUAUCGCAUUAGUAAAUAUGGAUUGUACGGUGAGACCCAUCUGUUAUCAAGAAUGGCACCUCUUACUUUUACUCUACGACCAUUUUUUCUCCUUCGGUAUAUAGGAUAUGAAUCCUUUCCUUGAAUAGUAUUCUCAGUGAAUUGUUUAGGGUACUGAAAUCUGCAUUUUCCUUCUCUCAUGCAUGCGUUAUGUGGCUUCAAUGCUCCACAAGGUCCAUGGAUCAUGUGCUUGACAACUAAUUGGUGGAGCAAAGGAUAUUUGAUUUGAUCGGGUAUUUCAGCAGACACAAUUUUAUCAUACUGAUCUGGUGUUGUUAUUUUGUUAUGAGAGGCUAAUAUAAUCAAAAAAUGUGCAUGGGGCAAUCCACGCUUUUGAAAUUCUAUUACAUGCACAUGCGCAGCAACCUGACCAAAUGUAUUUCUUUUGAAUAAUUGGUCUUUUAAGUCUUCAAGUUUAGCUCUAAAAAUUCUUGAAGUCAAAUCUGGACGAUCUUGUGCUAGCUCUCCAGGCCUCAGUUCUGCUUUAAUUUCAUCCCAAUCCGGAUUGCAUGUCAUUGUAAGAAAUAUAUCAGGUUUGCCAUAACGUUGAACUAAUGCCAUAGCAUCUAGAUAGCGCCGACGGAUAUCCCGAGGACCACCUAUAAAAGAUGAGGGAAGUACAAUUCGUUUGUCAGCCAUACUACCACGCAGUUCACCAGAUGCUACACUAUCAACAAUGUCUUGAUACAAAUCGGCUCGAAUUCUUAUUUGGUCCUUAAUAAUGAAAUCCAGUCUCGUUGACUCAAUCUUAAUAUACAUAUCAACUACAAACUGUUGUAAUAAUCUUCCAGAUAAUAACAAUAUAGAUUUCACAGCAGGACGAAUUUGAAGCCUAAAACAAUAGUACUCUCUAAUAGAAAUCUGUUUCCUGUAACGUUUACCAACUCCUGUAAAAAUUAGUAAAUUUAGUUAUAUAUUUAGUUUUUCAUUUAUGAAAGUUCUUUAGUCUAUACAAAUUAUCAAGAAAAAAAAAGUACAAAGUAAUUAAUCACCUUCAUUAUCAUCUAUAAUGAUAUGUUCACUUUGCUGUGAUGUUAGAGUAGUAAUACUCCUGCAGUCUACAUGGUUUGUAGAUGAUAUCCCUUCUCCUGCAAUAGGUAUAUCUGGUUGCCAUCCUGGAUCUCCAUUUGGAAAUAAUAGAGGGUACGAUAAUGGAUCAUAACAUCCAUAAUAUGGUUGAAUGAAAUGAGUAUAGUUGGAUCUAUCGUAGAUAACAAUGCUCCGCUUGUAAAAUUGAGGACAUCCAUUGCCUUCCACCCAAAUAGCUGCAACUUGCGAUGCAGUAGGUGCAUUAUAUACUCUUUGAUCUAGUUCAACACUUGUGCUUAAAGUAAUCCUAUAAUUAUCAAGUGUUCCAAUGUCUCCAAGACUCCUAAAACUUGCAACAUAUGGAUUUGUAGAUAGAAUGCGCACAAGCUUGCUAACCAUUUUGUCAUCAAGAUAAGAUGUUCUUUGCAAUCUAUGAUUGAUGUCAUAAUCAGUAUCAUAAAAGUAUAAUUGCAUGUACUUUGGCCCAUCUUCCUUUGGAACUAACUGAUCCAAAAAGUGAUAUAUUUGUCCUUGUGCACGAAAAGUGUAUAUACCACCUCGCAUAGAUGCACAGUCUUUAUCAAGUCGAACCCCCAUUGACGUGAAGGAAAAAUGAUUAUUAUAUCUUCGGAUAUUGCUUCUAAAUUGAGUUGAUUCACUGCUGUGAGUUGUGAAAAGUUGGUAUAGUUCAUCCGGAACUGUUGGAUGCACUAAAUUAACCUUUCCGUUCAUGCAACAGAAUGCUGGAAACUCAUAUUGAAAUUUUUUUGCCCCACAAUAUACGCAAUUUCGUUGUGUCUUCAAAAUAUGAUGCUUUGUGGGUAAGUUAUGAUAUACAGAAUAGUCAAUACCAUUAUCCUCGCAGCCACCAGAGAGAUUUUGUUCACUUUCAACACUGUUGGAAUUGACAUCAAUGACGGCUAUGUCGGGAUAUUCAAAACCCAAUCCUAUCAAAAUCAUUUAAAAUAAUUAGUUGUUAUACGCAAAUAUAGUUGGAUUUUUUAUUUAUAUUAUAUUACCUUCAGUUGCACUGUCAUUUGUAUCAACUAAAUAGUUAAUUCCUUCGUCACAAUCAUCUUCAAAUUCAUGAGCACUAUCUGUGGAAUAUAAAAAAUUAAGUCUAAAUUAUUAAUAAAAUUAAAUAAUUAUAUGUUAUAAAUUUAUAUAUUGCAUGAAAAAAGUUACAAUACCUUCAAGGGCAAGGCUUGGUUUUUCUAAAUGACUGCUAUUUGAUGCUUCAAGUGACACGCCAGAUUCCCCAAUUUGAUUCUCCAAAGGCACACUUAUAAAAGUAUGACAGCUUUUAUAAGUUUCGCGCCUUUUGUUACGCCUCAUUUCUCUUUCUUCAUUUGUCAUACUUGUAUAUCUCUCGCGAUUAUACAUACGUUUCUUCUCAGCAAAACUGACUGCAUCAAAUUAAUAUUAUAAUAAAUCAUUGAAUGCUAGUGAUAUAUUUGGAAUGUAAUAUUCAUAAUUUCUCUUCUCUAUUACCUUCUGUCCUGGUCUCAUUUGUACUAUUUUCUGAUUCACCUAUGAUAACUGAUUCAGCAUUAUUCCUUUCAGCACGUAGAUUACGUCUCCUUCUUAGUCUAUCUUCUUUUUCUUCAACUGUCAUCCGAGCAUAUCUUUGACGAUUAUAUAGACGUUUUCUUUCAGCAGGCGCUACUACAAUAAAUAUAAUUUUGUAUAAUUAAUAAAUAUAUAUACCAUACUAAAGAUCAUUAUAUUAUAAAGAGCUCUAAUCAUUAAAUAUCCAAUAAUAGGUACCUUGUUUCCCUUUAUUGUUAUCUUGCCUACUCCCUUCCAUUUGUUUGAUGGGAAGAGGGGAUUAUGAAUAUUGUAUAAAAUAUAAGUACUAGUAGCGAUAGGCUACUAGUAUUGCACAUAUCCUUGUAUGGUACAGUCGCUUUUUAGCCGAAAACUGACAGCAAAGAUAAGACUAGGGUAGAAAAUUCGAAAUCGUAGAAUCAGGGGUCUGGGGUGUUAAACAAGUAUAAUCCAAAAGUGGCUAGUAAUUAGGUAGGAUCCCGUUGUAUAUACUGUUUGCGUAUUUAAGAUUUAAUAAUUGUAUUUAUUUUCAAUAGUAAUAGAAUAUUAAGUUAGGGUUGACUACUUAAUAAAUAUCCUANAGUCACUUGAAGAUGAAAAGAUCUUGAUUAUAAUUCCCUUUCCUGCAAUUACUUGAAGACAAAUAAAAUAUGCUUCCUGUUCCCAAUUACUUGAAAAAUGAUUCAAUCGUUGAUCCCAUGUCCAGUUUCUUAAAAACGAAUAAAUCUUGAUUAUAUUCUCAUUUCCUGUAAUAACUUGAAGACAAAUAGAAUAUGCUCUAAGUUGCUUGAAGAUGAAUAAAUCUUGAUUAUCCAUAUUUAUUUGUGAUGAGAGAGAGGAGAGGAACAAAAAAUGGAAAAAAUGAGCGGAAAUAAAAGUGCGGGAAGGAAAUGUGAUGAGAGAGCGGAGAUCACAGAAAAUGAAAAAUAUGAGUGGGAAUAAAUGGAAAAAAACUUAUAUUUUGGAAAUAAAUAGAAAAAUUUAAUAUGUUAUAUUAAAAAGAAAAGAUAUAUUGAAAUUCGGAAAUUAACAUAUAAAAGAAAAAUUAUUUACAAAUUAUAGAAAAAUAAAAUACCUUUUUCAAAAUAAUUUUUAAAUUAAACAGAAAAAUAAAAUCCGUAAUAUUUAAAAUUUAUUUUUGAAGUUAAAUAGAUAAUAUAUAAAAAAGAUAUUAUUAAAUUAAAUAGAAAAAUAACUUUUAGAGGAAUUUCACACCCGUAAUCUGUUAUAGAAAAUUAACUUUUAAAUAGGAAAGUUUAUUUAUGAAAAUUUACACACCAUAUUUUGAAAUUAAAGAAAAAAUAAAAAUCGUUAGAAAAUUUUUUUUUUGAAAAUAAAUAUAAAAUAAAAUCAAUCUUUUUUAAAAGAAAAUAUAUUUUGAAAUUAAAUAGAUAAUAUCCGAAAUAAGAUAUUUUAAAAAUUAACAGAAAAAUGUAUCUUUUAUUUUUUUCACACACGUAAUGUGGUAUAGAAAAUUUACAUUUGUAAUUUAAUAGAAAAUUUUAAUUUUUACGAUUUUAACACCAUAUUUUUAAAUUAAAGAAAAAGAAAAUCGGUUAGAAAAUAAUAUUUUGAAAUUAAAUAUUAAAAUAAAAUGUGUUUUCUUAAAAAGAUAAUAUAAUUUGAAAUUAAAUAGAUAAUAUCUGAAAGAUUUUUAAAAGUUAAAUAGGAAAAUUUAUUUUUUACGUUUUUAACACCAUAUUUUGAAAUUAAAGAAAAAUAAAAUCCGUUAGAAAUUAAUAUUUUUAAAUUAAAUAGUAAAAUAAAAUCUAUUUUAAUAGAAAGAAAAUAUAAUUUAAAACUAAAUAGAUAAUAUCUGGAAAAAUCAUUUUUAAAAUUAAAUUAAAAAAUGUAUUUUAUAGAAUUUUCACACACGUAAUCUAUUAUAGAAAACUUAAUUUUGAAAAUAAACAGGAAAAUUUAAUUUUUACGAUUUUAACACCAUAUUUAGAAAAUAUAGAAAUAUAAAAUACGUUAGAAAAAAAUAUUUUGAAAAUAAAUAGAAAAAUAAAAUCUGAUAUAUUAAAAAUUAGAUAUAUUUUGAACUUAAAUAGAUAAUUUUUGUUAAAUUUUUUUUUUAAAUAUAAUAGAAAUAUUUUUUUUUAUAGAUUUUCACAUAUGUAAUCUGUUAUAGAAAACUUACUUUUGAAAAUAAAUAGGAAAAUUUAUUUUUUACGAUUUUAACAGCAUAUUUUGAAAUUAAAGAAAAUUGAAAUACUUUAGAAAAUAAAUUUUUUGAAAUUAAAUAGAAAAAUUAAAUCUAUUUUGUUAAAAAGAAAAUAUAUUUUGAAAUUAAAUAGAUAAUAUAUAAACAAUUUUAACACCAUAUUUUGAAAUUAAAGAAAAUUGAAAUCCUUUAGAAAAUAAUAUUUUCAAAUUAAAUAGAAAAAUUAAAUCUAUUUUGUUAAAAAGAAAAUAUAUUUUGGAAUUAAAUAGAUAAUAUAUAAAAAAGAUAUUUUAAAUUAAGUAGGAAAAUAUAUUUUAUAGGAUUUUCACAUACGUAAUCUGAUAUGAAAAUCUUAAUUUUGAAAUUGAAUAGAAAAAUUUAAUUGUUAGGAUUUUCACAAUAAUAUUCUGUUACAGAGAACUUGCGUAUUCAAUGCGGUUUUUAUUUAUAUUUUUAUUCGGUUAAAGAGGAGAAUAGGCGCUAGUUUUCAUUUCGAAAAUUAGGUCUUUGGACAAACCCAAAUUUGUUAUAGAAAACUUAUUUUAGAUAUUUAAUAGAAAAAUAAAAUAAUUUUUUUAAAAAAGAAAGUAUAUUUUGAAUAAAAAAAAAGUAGAUUUUGAAAUUAAAUAGAUAAUAUCUAAAAAUCUAUGUAUGAUUGAUGUUGCAGUGUGAAGAAGCAUUCAUCAUGCUCAUCGGAAAAAA
rnacentral:lncRNA from 1 species